UAUUUUGAUGUUAAUUAAUUAGAUAAUAUAAUGUUAAUUUCAAAUUAUAACUUUUAUUCCUCUUAUUUCAAUUUAACCAUCCAAACGCUAUUUACCUUAUUCCUAGGAACAACUCAAUUUUCAUCCAAACGUAAAAUUGGUCUAGUUCCUGCUUAUACCUGAACUUGUACCUAUCCCUGGAACAAGCAGUUCUUACUUAUACCUGAACCAAACGCAGCCUAAAAGUACGAGCUCAUUAUAAUGAGGGAAUAAGUAAGAUUGUAAAUAUCAUGAGUAAUUUAUUCAUGUCUUUUUACUAUAGCUUCUGUUUUUCUUUUUAUAUUAAUUUACUAAUGUUUUUCGGAAAUCAUAUUAGGUUGGACCUAACAUUUUCUUGGAUAAAUGGAGAUGGCCUCAAAUAAUCCUCAUCGUACUCAGUUUCCUGUUACAGAGAAGUCGAUAUCCUUAGAUAUCAAGGUCUCUUUCUCUCUCUCCCGAACUAACUUUUAGUAUAAUUGGACUUACGAUGUGUUUAACAUAGUGUAACCUUAUAUAACCUUGUAUCUACAACCGAUUGGCAUGGUAUGUGCCUAACAGCACCAGAUUUGGCAUGAUUCAUUCAUAUAUGAUCAUGAUGUACUUUUAUUUUUGACAUAUUGAUGGGUUUAACGAACACGUAACGGAUUGCAUGAUUUUUUCUUGGUUUAAGUCAUUGAUGAAAACAUGCUUGAAGUGUUUAUUUGUCAUCUUAUUCUACCGGGCCAUGUGGUUUAAGAGUAUCGGGCUAAAAUAAGCAGUUAUUGUGACCAAUUGAUUCCGGUGACGUAGCAGACUGGUUACAGAUUAUGACUGUCAAUGAUAUACACUCCAACUAUAGCUACUGAGUGUGUUUAUUGAAUAGCCUAAGUUCAUUAUUAUGCAUAUUUUUAUUCCAAGCUAGCAUAUUAGUGUAACGCCCCAAUAGUCCCACAUCGGAUGGGAUGCUGAUUCCGAUUACUUAAUAUAAGCCCUACACGCUAGUAAUAAUAAAUGGGCUUAAGUAUUUUGGACUGGUUGUUUGGGCCCAACAAGUUAUUACUGCUGGCAGGUUGGGUUGUUACAUUUGGUAUCAAAGCCGAAUACCAGCCGGAAGUGUGAGAGUUAAGUGCUAUGCGGGACAAAGUACUACACCAACGGGUUUGGUGGGAGCCACCUCUUGAACCCGUAGAAGCCACCUCUAGAAUCUCACAUUGUCUGGCAAUUCUGUUCCUAUUCUGUUUGUAUGUCUGUGAUCUGGUUUGGACCCGACGUGGACGUCAGGGUCUAAACAGGGGGAGUUUGUAACGCUCCAAUAGUCCCACAUCGGAUGGGAUACUGAUUCCACGUCGGGUCCAAAUAGGGAGAGUUUGUGACGCUCGAAUAGUCCCACAUCGGAUGGGAUACUGAUUCCGAUCAGUUUAUAUGAGACCUACACGCUAGUAAUAAUAACUGGGCUUAAGCAUUUUGGGCCGAUGGUUUGGGCCCAACGAGUUAUUAUUGCUAGCGGGCCGGGUCGUUACAUUUGGUAUUAGAGCCGAAUACCAGCCGGAAGUGUGAGAGCUAAGUGUUAUGCGGGACAAACUGCUACACUAACGGAUUUGGUGGGAACCACCUCUUGAACCCAUAGGAGCCACCUCUAGAAUCUCACAUCGCCUGAUAAUUCUGGUUCUGGUCUGUCUGUGACCUGGUUUGGACUCGACGAGUACGUCAGGGUCUAAACAGGGGGGUUUGUAACGCCCCAAUAGUUCCACAUCGGAUGAGAUACUGAUUCCGAUUAGUUUAUAUGAGGCCUACACGCUAGUAAUAAUAACUGAGGUUAAGCAUUUUGGGCUGAUGGUUUGGGCCCAACGAGUUAUUAUUGCUGGCGGGUCGGAUCGCUACAAUUAGUGUAUUGCGGAAUGUUAUCUCAGCUCGCUUGGCAUUUCCUACUAUGCCCUGUGCUUCCUUCAUCCGACUUUGUAGCGUCCUUCCUGUCCGAAUUGCUGAUAGCAUAACCAUUCCGCUUCUUAGCAAAUUUUUCUAUUUAAAAUUUUUGCGUAUUUUAGCCUGAAUUGUUGUUACAUCCUUUCCCUACAAUCAAACAAGGACAAAGCAUGCACCAAUUUGAGCCUAGGGCUGUGGAGAUGUUAGUGUGAUGGAAAGUAUAUAUAAACUUUUGUGCAUGCAAGGCGACAUGAGAAUCUCUUCAUGGCAUUAUGUGUUUGGCAUUGUAGGGAACUAAGAUAGACAUCAUAAUCAGCAAGUAUACAGAUAGUUUUCUGGUGAGUUGUAUCUCAUACUUCAGCACUAUAGCUUUUACUACUGACAUGUUUACAUGAAAAUGUUCUUUCAGGUCAUGGCGACUCAAAUAGGAUCUAUGGGUACCGGUAUUAGGUUUUCCCCCUUUUCAUAUAAAUUUCAUGCUGAAAUUGGUUGUAACUGGAUUUGUCUAUACCUAUCAAAGCCCACACAAGAACUUCGAGACUCCUUCCGGUUCAAAAGCUAUUUGUUGAUUAGCAGGAUAUAUGAGGUACGUUUCCUUUCCAAAUUGUCUAAUUUCAUUUGUUGCUCGAUCGAACUCAAUAUAUCAAUUCACUUUUAAUUGUAUGCCUUAAGUUCCACCCUAGUACGUAGACAAGAGGCUAGUGACUAGUUCAUCGAAUAUGGUUUAUUUACUAGUCAUUACGAUAUAUGAUCUCUCUGUUUAACCGCCGAUGUUAGCAUCUACUUAUGUGAAUGCUUGUUGGGUUAUGAUCAGCUUAUUGUUGUUCUUUUCUGUAGAGAGAUCCGAACAAACCGAAGGGAAAGCGUAGCGUCAAUCAAGAUGAACCUGUUAUUUAUAUAAAGGCAGAAGAUGAAGUAUUUCAUGAGGUAUAUAUUGAAUAUAUACUAUCUUGGAUAUAUACUAUCUUGUAUAUAUAUACUGGACAUAUACUAUCUUGAAUAUAUGCUAUCUGCUAUUUGAUUAUUUUUAAGCUAUUUAUAGUACCCUUCUCAUUUCAGCUCAGCACGUGGUCUUUUACUUUUCCUGUGCAUGCCGAGCAGUUGGUUCCAGACAACGUAAGUUGCAUGUAGUUAUUUAAAGUUAUGCCAUACUUGCUCUUUGUCUUUAUUAUCCAGCCUGUUUUUAUGUUCUUUUUUCUUUAUUAACCAGAUUGAUAAUAUUGAACAUUUAAAAUUUUGAACUUUUGGUCCAUUAUGGAUGGUUUUCACACUUGUCUAAGCAUACUGUGUGUAAGUUGAUCUUUAUUCCGGAAUGUGAAUGGAAGCAAAUGUGAGGUGGAAACACAGAAGGCCUUUGCGCUUCUAAGAGCACCUUAGCAUAGCCCUUGAUAGCAUUGGUAUCCCACUUCUAUCACUUUUUCACCUGUUCGAUGCUUCGCCAUGAUUCACGCAGGUGUGCUUCAUGAUGCAUGCUGUGUUGUGCCUAUCAUGAUUCCCAUCUGUCACUCAUGUAAUUUGUGAUGCAUGUCCAACAGGUGAAAAGGUGAUAGCUUGGUCGUUGUGUUUUAGCUUGUAGGGAAGAGACAUCCUUCUUUAAAGUAAGAAGUGAGCUAACAUUGAAAAAGCCAAACAAGAAGUUUGUAGUUGCUUAAACAAGCUUUUGUAGUUGCCUAAAUGAUAAAUUGUGGAAUUUAUGCUGAAAAGGGAUCAUAUUCACGUCCUGUAAAAUGUAAUUUUCGGCUAUAGAACUAUUGUCCGUUGCUUUUUAUAUUUAUUUCUAUGCUAGAUGCACUUUAUGCCAGAUUGAGCUAAUCUGCUUUCCAAUUUUUAUAAAGGAUCUUUUUGGCAAGAUAUGCAAGUUAUUAUUUGUCAUCAAAAUGCUAGAUUAAUAUUCUAAGGUUGACUUGUUAUUUGUCAUACGUAUUGAAACUUCUUUACAUAUAUUAAGAGAAGUUGUUACUCACAGAAUUUCCAUUCUGAAUAAAAAGUGCUGCGGAGAUUGUAGCAGUCUGUUUUUAUUAUGGUAUUCGAAUAGAUUGCUGCGCCUGCUACUUAACUUUAUUGAUCUGCAUUGAGGAUGCUUUAUACUUGCUGCCAUUUUUUUCCCUUGCACUUGUGAUUAAUUUUUUAUUCUCAAGAAGUUCAAGAAAGCACUGCAGUUAAAUAUGCUGUAUUUGAUAUAUUUCCAGUUCAUUUAUUUGUAUGCUUGAAUAGUGAUCUUAUCUUUGAUUUCAAUUUGCAUCAAUACUGGUACUCAUAUUUCUGUUUUCUGCAGUUGAAGAACUAUAGGCAGAUGGGUCAAGUUCUGGUUGUUAAAGCUGACGAUGUUCCCAAGUUUCGAGAAAAGUUAAAAUCUUUAGUAGCUGCUGAAUCAUGAUGCCUUCAGCAUGAUAAUUUUGGUGUGAAAUAGUUGUUUUAUAGUUCUGAGGGCUAGCUGUUGCCACUUUAUUUGUAGUUGAAAUAUCAAAUCUCAUUUCAUUGUUGCAUUUUGUGCAGCAAACAUAAUUUUCAAGGUGAAGUUUCCUUUUCAAUUGGUUGGCAAGGACAGGAGCUAAAAUUUGUGUGUGUAAUAUCCCUGGACAAGGUAAGUAUUUUGUAGAUUGUCCAAAGAUAGGUGGUGGGACGCAAAAUACUUUUGGCAUUUCAUUCCCUUCCUUUUUGUUUUUGUAGUUGCAGGAUGUGCAAAUCUAUUUUACUUGUAGUUUUAGAGGCUAAACAGAAAAAUGUGCAUGAGCAUUGUAGAUUGAUCGUGCCCUUCGUUAUAAUCACAACAUUUAGGGGAGUUGCUAGUCAUUACAUUGUCUAUUAGGGCUAUUCUGCAAAUAAUUUGCUAUCAUUUUGUAUCAACAAAAUGCUAAUGGUACAUCUUUUUCUAAUUUCCAGUAUCUAUUCUUUCGAAUGAGUGAUCUUUUUGCAAGUUCAGAUGCACUAGAAUUCUCAAGAAUAACCGAGUAUGUUUUAUCAUUGUUAUUGUACUCUAUAUUGAGUAGCGAGUACAUUCCUUGUUAGAGCAUGCGGCCUUUUUUCUAUUGUGAUAUCUUGCUGAAUUCUCUUAUUAGGCGUAGUUUAGAUAUCAGAGUAAGAUAUUUAAUGAUAUCUUAUUCCGUAUGAGAAUUUUCUAUUAUCACUGAAAGCUAGGAGUGUUAUUGUGUAGAAUCGAAUAUAGUAUAUUCGACCUUCAAAUAAUUUUUUUGACAUAAGAUAAAUUAUCUUGUAAAUGAAGUAUAUUAUGCUACCAUAUUGUGGAUGUCAAGAAUUUUUAAGAAGUCGGAUAGAUGGUGUGGGGAUAAGACACUUCAGAGGUCCUUUCCGGAGGUGUAUGAGCGGAGCGAUAGCAAAACUAGGCAGGUUAAGGAGUGCGUUGAAAGAGAGGAGUGGAAUUGGAAUAGGAUUCUGGGGGAUGAGGCUCUGGGUGUGCCCGGCCUGAGCCCCUCUAUCUCGGAGCUCAAAGCGAGUGUUAGCAGGUUUCAAAUAGGGCACAGGUUGGACACGAUAGGGUGGAGAUGGGGGAGCAGCAGUUCUUUCUCAGUUAAAUCGACCUAUAGAAUGCUAAAUGAUGGGGGUACGGUGGACGGACGUGUCAACAAGAUAUGGAGGCUCCGAAUACCACUUAAGGUCAAAGUAUUCUGUUGGCUAGUUCUUAAGAAAAGAACUCCUACAGCUGAGAUCCUUGUUAAGAGAGGAUGGACUGGGGACAUGGCCUGUGUAUUGUGCAGGAUACAUGCCGAGUCAGUGGACCAUCUAUUCACCUAAUGCAUCUUCCUUAAGUUUUUUAUGGUAAUAGGCCUUGAGGACGUCCAGGCGGGGGAUUUGGGUGACGAUGUGCACGUAGUCUGGAAUAGGUGGAAGGGGGGGAACGGGGGGGCAGAAUAGAAAAAAGGGACUAGCCGAGUUAGCUGCAUGCUGAUGAAGCAUCUGGAAGGUCAGGAACAACCUUAUCUUUCGUGACAUUCUGCUGGAUUCCGUGCUAGAGGUGCAAAGGCUCAAGCAGCUUAUCAUUUCUUGGAAAGAUCUCUUAUGAUUUUUUUUUUUUCCUUGUACGUUCAGGUGUUUUUCUCGUGUUUUCCGAAGCCCUGGCUGCCUCAUCCUUGUAGUCUAAUUCAUACUUUUAAUGAAUGAAGCAAGUAGCGUGCUACCUAUUCUCUCUAAAAAAAAAAAGAAAAAACUAGGCCUUUGCCUUCUAUUUAUAUAAGAAAAUUUUUAUACCGAAUAAAUUAUUAUAAGAUAACUUAUUUUGCCAUUCAAAUAAGUUCUUAUUGUCUAACUUGUUUUUGUUCGGAUCACGGGCUUGUAUUGUAGUUAUGAAUUUAAAUGAACUAUAAACUUGAUGGUCACUCAAUCAAGAACCUUCUAGGCUUCUAUAUCGAAUGAGUGUGAGAUUUUGGAUAUGAAUGGGAAGUCGAUUAGUUUAAUAAUUUGCAGACUUACGUAGGCUUUCAAGAUGUUGAGAGAGAGAGAGAGAGAGAGAGAGAGAGAGAGAGAGAGUGAAUGCGUGUAUGUAUUUGUCAUUAUAUUUUCGAGCAAUCAAGCAGCACAAGAAGAGUUGGUUUUUCUCUCUUUCUACUUGUUUCUAUCUUCCUUUUAUUCUGCAAUCAUCAGAUAGAAAAUUUAUUCCCCUUUCGGUAGGACUUUCGCUCUGUUCAAACUGAGAUCCAUUUUUAGGGUUCUCGUGUCAAGUCAUCCAUCUAUUCCUGAUGUCAAAGUUUUCUGAUUUGAGUAGUUAAGUUGGAUUUGAGUUUUAAAUACUUGGUUAGGCAGCUGGGAGCUUCAGUUGGAAUUUAUGUGAUCAGUUCGACCUAACACCGAGUCGAAGCAGCAGCCGAGGGACAACUUAUGGAAACGUUUCUAAUUACCUCUAGUCAACAAGCUAUAUCCUUGAUGGCAGUUGGGGUAUAGUCAUUUAAACUGUGUGAAUCCUAAAGUUGCUACGUUCACCAUUUCAUUGAGUAAUUAGAUUGGUUGUUCCCGUAAAUAGAUUGCAGUGUAGCUGAAUUACUGGCGCUCCCAUUAAUAAGCUAUCCUGCUGGCCCAUUCCAAAAGAAUGAAUGAGGCAGUCAGGCUUCUGGAGGAAGCUUAUUAAUUUGAUAAAAAAGCCUCUUUUUUUAUGUUUUCGUUUCAUUUUUUUGAGAGAGGUAGCAGACCAUCUUCUUUUUCUUUUUUUGAGAAAUAAAUGGCUAUUUAUUAGUGCAAGCGAAUAAAUAAGUGGAUAAAUACAAGCAAAAAGUUUAGUGGGUAUCGAUGUUCUAAAGAAUCUACUUUUUAAAUAUGAAUCGAGAGUUGGAUGGCAUCCGCAUAAGAAAUUAUAUAGCUCUUUUUAGCUUCCCGGUGGACUCUGAUCAGCUUGAUAAAGUACACAUCUAACUUGCUAGAAAUUUACAGGCCCAUACGGUACUUUUCAUUUUUUAUUGACAAAAAGAUCAGACUGAAUGGGCCGAAAAGGAGAGGAAGCCAAGUGGUGAGUGGAGUGGAGCUGAUAAUAAACUGUUAUGAAACUUUUAAACUGACUAAUCAGAAGCAUUAGUGGUGAAGUCUCCAUGAUUUCAGGAAUUCACUAACGUAACAACUUCACCUAGUACGAUGGGCUGCGCACGACAGAUCGAUAAAGCCCGAUAAAAAUCCUUCACAUGGGUGCAAAUUAUUCAGUUCCCGAUAGGAAUCUCCACAUCUGUUCAAACGAUCCCGUUCCCACGUUUCGGUACUACACGUCUUUACUAUAAAUCUUAUAUCAAAAGGUCCACGAAGAGACAUUAUUUAUCUAUUUUAUAAACCCACAUGCGCACCUUAUUAAUUUAUUGGCUAGCUUCUGAUAGCUCCAAGGACAAGGCAUGCACGCAUAAACAAGAAGAUAAAAUCGUGGCCUAUCAAUAACCCCAAACAUUGACCACCCUGCACACGAUCAGUUAGUCAUGAUAGUUUAAUAGCGUCUAAACUAUGCACACCGCACUAAUCUGACCGUCCCUAGCACAAAUAGCAAAGGAGUUGGUGGUUGAUAUUCAAGACUCAAAUUCGAAUUCUAAUUGAUUCACAUUUUCAGCUAAAUUUAUUUCUAAAUAAAAUAAACGAAGCGAGUAACAUGCUAACUUUCUCAUAAAUAUAUAAAUAUAUAUAUAUAAAUAUUGUGCACACCCGCGAGAGAAAGAGAGGUUGAAAACAAGGAAAAACAGAAAAAAGCUCACCAAUCCAAGCCGUAAUAGUAGCAGUAUAUAACCACACCAAGUAUCCAGUACACGGAGAUCGCCACAGUAGUAGCAGUAGUACAUCACCAACAUGCAUAUACGUACACGCACGGAACGAUACAAUGCAUCCCAUAAAAUAUGCGUGCACUCUACUAGUGCAACUAGUGCUGCUUAUUCUUUACUAAUGCCACUCCUAAUUAAGUAAGAACUGGUGGCGGUGGGGCCUGCACGAAACCUAGCUAGUGGGUGGCAGGGUGGGCCCCAGCGCCCCACGGGUUUAGUUGAGGCCCGGUUGGUGGGGAGGCUUGUCGACGUCCUCGAGGGGGCGGAACCACACCUCCUGGUCCAGCACCGUCGACCCGCCACCAUCCCCCGCCGCCACAGCAGCUGCGUUGCCCGGCCCGUCCUUCGUUCCCGCGGUGGCGGUGGCGGCGGCGGCGGGCCCAAAAACGCCUGUCGUAGGGUGCGGGCCCCAGUACUUUUCCGACUCACAAGUUUCGAUCACAUGGUCCGGCACCACCACCGGGUGCACCAGAUCCUCCUCCACGUUCUUGUCGUACGAUGACGAGUACACUGCCCUCCUGCACAUAAUACUUAAUUUUUAUUAAAAAUAAUUAAAUUCUAAAUAUUUGGACCAAGGGUUAAUGCAAUCUUUCAGCCCUCUUAAGGUUUGUACCAUUAUUAGCAUUUCUCAUCUUAAAAUAAUUUGGACGGACAAAAGAGCAAUGAUACUUCUGUAAUCACUUUUUGAUGAUAACUCUAUAACUCUAAAUUACAAAAAUCCAUAAUUAUUUUACUAGUUUUUAUCAACUUUUUUUUACUACCAAAACAAUAAUAAAAAAUAUAUAUUACCGCCGAUCGUUCCUGGCGCAAGUGACAAAGAAUUUAUUGAUUGGUAUUUGAGAUUUCAAGUUCGAAUUUUAAUGGAUUCAUAUUUUUCGCUAAGUUCAAUAUCCAAAAUUUCAAAUUUAAAUUCUAAUUAAUUCACAUUUCAGCUAAAUUUACUUUUUAAAAAAAUAAACUUAGCGUUAGCAUACUACUUUACAGAGGGAGAGGAAGCUGUUUUGUCCUAUGAGAAAAAUUCUAGAAUGCAACGGGUAUAUUAGUGACGUGACGUAACAAACUAAUCAAAUUAAUCUUUUUAAAAAUAUAUGUUCCAUCAUGAUUAUAAAAAAAUAUUUGUAUUAUACUUUUGUUUAAAAAAAAAAAUAAUUAAUUUGUUAUUGAUAACGUGGUGCAAAUUGUGACAGUGUAGAAUUUCUCGUCCUAUGGGGCCAGCAGGGGCAUUUUCGAAAUAAAUAUUCGUCGGAGAACAUCGGGGCAGGCGCCAAGAACGUGACUGGAACUGGAAAUCGAGAUGGAUAAGAGCAAAUCUCACUCGUACGCGUGGCCUCCGAUGGAGCCGAUGGAGAGACCAAAAUGCCUCCUCGAUAGAGGACGAGAAAGGUUGGUGACUACCAGACGAUCAGGGCCGUUGCUUCUGCCUGUAGGACCGCAAGUACCCAUCUCACGGCUCGCGUCUUAGUCAUCGGUGCGCCUCUUAAACGGAGGGAAAGAAUCGUACGGCAGACAUGGUCCACCUCAAAAAUGCGUGCGGGGUAAUCGAGGGGGCACACAAAUCCACCGUCCAAUCAGCCUCCAAAUGAAAUCAGGAUCGUCAAUUAACGGACGGCACGAUCAAUCACCCGAGAGGUUAAAGCGACGGGGCGUGUUCCCUCUCCGGAUACCUCCUAGUGAACUCCCCCAGUGUUUUUCUUUUCUUUUUUUUUCUUCUGUCGUUUUGUGACUGCUCUCUCUCCAGGGAGUGCGAAAGAAAAGGAAAGAAAAGACGGAAAAGAGUACAAAGAAGGGGAAAACCAGUACGGAGACAAAACAAGGACGAAAAUAUCUCUGAGAAUUAGUAGAGAUGGCAAAAUUAGUGCGGAUAAAGAAACAAAGGACUUUGUGUGGGAAAUAUCAUCGCCACACACUGAAAAAUAAAAAAAAAUAAAGGAAAAGACAGGGAGGGUGGGGGGAGGGGGGGAAGGGGGAGUAAAAGAACUCUACUGGAGAUGUCCUUACAGAGUUGCAUUGCAUCUCUGGUAAAACAGAAUAGAUCCCCUCGAAAUUUCAACUCUAAGAUCCACAAAAGCAAGAGAACCUCAGAAAAAGGAAAACUAAUUGAUAUAUAUCACUGCUUAUAGUUGAUACUUAGACUGUGGAAGCAAUCAUGGUAAUAGCACCGAUCGCUAAAACAAACAUAACAGCUAACACAUCAAGAAGCAAAAAUCACCAAAUAAUUUCACAACAUCAGAUGCUUAAAAAAAAAAUAAAAAAAACCUACAACCAGUUAUACCAGUGCUUAAUUAGCAUAUAUUGAUCCAUGCGACUAAAAGCAACUAAUAUAUUAAUUAGCAGCGAUCAGUAGAGCAAAUCUAAGAAUUAACACACGGAGAGCAGCUAAAAAAAUCGGUUGAUCUCAUGAGAUCAUAACAAAUGCUGAGCAAUUAGGAGGUGUACCUUGAAUCCGACGCGGCAGAAACCGCGAUCGGAGAAGGAUUUCGAGAGGCCCAGAUCUGGUUCACAAAUCGCUUCCCGAAGCUUCCCGCGAUCGCUCGCCCCUUCGAAUUAGCGGCCAUGCAAAAGAAAGGAGUGAAAAUAGCAAAGCGAGAGGGAGAGAGAGAAGGAAAGCAAAAGCGAAAACGAAAAGGAAUGGGAUAGAGAAUGAGCCCUUUUCCAUUGGUAGCAGCCGCUAUUUAUAGCCUCGCCCACACUCGCUCCAACCGCCCACCUACCCGCCCCGUUUACUACGCCGUUAACGUUUUCCGUCCCUUCUAUUGACGGCGCUCCUAACGGCGUUAGCGCGGAGGCAAGCCACGUGAGUGGAGGUGGAGCGAAUAAUUUGGAGCAUAUUCUACACAGUUCGAAGCGUCCCUCCAGAUACUAUUGGUCUCCUGCUAGUGUAUGAAAUUUACCAAAACGCCCCGCGAUGUUUGGUCUCGUCACUGGCACGGUGAUACACUGAUCAUGUAGCUAAACUAAACGACAAAAAUAAACAGUUACAGUUACGGUGAAAUAAGUAUGUCCUAACCUUAAUCUCAGCUUCAAAGCUAUAAAAUAAAUUGGCAUUGUGAAUCUGUGAUUAUUAUUUACUUAUUAUUAUUAAAAACGAUUGAUCUCAGGCUCUUAAACGAGAGUAAGAGAUACCUAUCAACUUUCGCGGCAGCGGGGACAAGCUUUACAAUGUGGUUCAGUAGUCCAAAUGCUAAGUACUCAUAAUGAUAAGUUUAUGCUGCCAUUGGCAUCUAGCACGAGAAAAGUUAUUCAUUCAUUGGAUUAGUAUGCAUUUGUUCUCCAAGGCACGGUCAGAUAAGAGAAGAAUGAGGGGUCACCUCUCACUUUAUAUCCACAAAUCAAGUACUAAGGGUGGGAACACACUGUACGUUCCCACCCUUCCUAAGGGAUAUUUAAAUUAACGAAUUUGUAGAUCUAACGUAACUCAAGUGCAGUUGUGUUUGAAAUUUUUUAAAGGUGAUUAUUUUUUUAUUGUUUAUUUUAAUGUAACUCGUAAAUUUUGAUACUUAAAUUCAAUUACUUUCUUUGUUUAUUUUGAUAUAACUUGGUUUUGAUGAAAUUAGUUUUUUAAAUUUUAUUGUUUAUUUUGAUAUAAGUAAGUGGAUAUAAGUAAUUGAAUUUUGAUAUAAGUAAGUGGAUUUCGUUAUUUCAUAAAUAUAGUGGUAGAUUUAUUGCUAUAAAAUUUAACCUAUUAAAUAAUUAAAAUUUUUAUUAUUAUUUAAAAGUAAUCCUAAUUUAUUAUAAAUAAAGUAAUUCUAACCCAUUAUAAAGGAAGUAGAGUUUAGGUUUUACUAUUUAAUAAAUUUUUUAAAAAAAUUGAGUGUGGCGGAAAUCGAGCUCGGCACUUUAGAAGGAGAAGUCGAGAGUAGGUAAAUUGAAGGUUUAACGUAACUUGAGUUACACUAUAUUUUUAACUUAUACCAAAAUAAAUACCAAAAGUAAUGAAACGUAAGUUUCAUCCCUCCACUUGUACCAAAACAAAUAGCCCUUAAAGUGUAGGGGUGGGAAUAACAGUUCUAACCGCUAUUUUUAUUUUCAAAAUUUAAAAUUUAAAAAAUAUUUUUUAUUUUUUUAUUUUAAAAAUUUAUAAUUUGUAAUUUCAAAAUUUAAUUUUAGAUUAUAAAAUUUACAAGUUAAAAUUUUAAAUUUAAAAACAUAAAUAUAAAAUUUAACAAUUCAAAUUCAAAUAUAAUAAAAGGUUAAUAUCAUUAUUUUUUAUUUAUAACUAUUCACAAUUUUUUUUAUUUCAUCUUCUCUAUCCAAAUACUAUUUUUCUUAUUCUCAGAAACAACCUAAUUUUUAUUCAAACACAAAAUUAGUUUAAUUCUUAUUUAUACAUGUAUUUAAUUAUACCUAUCUUUGAAAUAAGCAAUUUUUACUUAUUCUCAAAUGGAACAACGCCCAAUUGUAUUAUUUGUUGGUUUUAGACUAAAUAUGUGAGUGUGGUAUUAGAAAAAUUGAAAAUUUUAAGUUGAUUUUCUUUGUUCCAAAAAACGGAAGAGUUUAUUUGGAGUGUUUUAACUUUAGAAACUUCUUUUUGUACUGUUGUAAUGGAAUCCUCCUAUCUUUUUGUAUUAUUGAAAAGUCUUUUCAGAAUGACUAUUGCCAAAAAUAGAGGAAUAUAUACUAAAGUGAUACUCGACAUUGCGUGAGGAAAUUAAGACCAAUGACUAGUUGUUUGCUUUGUCCAGCUUGCAACGGUAUAAUUUCUUCAUCUUUCUAAGUUAACUGUAGAGAUAUACAUUUUCUUUAGAUAUGUGCUACAUCCAUGCUCAAAUUUGUGUAAUUCAUUUGAAAUUGUAUAUAAUAUUCGACUGCAAUUAUUAUUGUGUCAUCAAUUACUACUAGAAUCAAGACUAGCAGCUUUGAAUAGAAUUGUUAGAGGGAGUCCUAAUAAUUUAUUCUUUAAGCAUGCUUCUAUUUGAGCUACAUUCCUGAACUUUUAAAAACGGAAAACUGCGACCAUCUCUUUUGUAACUGCAUCUUCUUCAGAUUCCUACUACUCUGUAUCGAUGAACUGGAGACACCUGAGCACACCACGAGUGAUGUCCGAAAUCUCUAGAUCGGAGCUUCAGCCAACCCCAUCAAGUCGAAGAGGUCAGUUUGCUUGACCCUUCUGGCAGCGAUCUGGUGGGUGGUCUGGAGGGAUAGAAAUCACUCUAUCUUUCGUGGAUCGGUACCCAACGCUUCUCGUUCGCUAGAGUGUGUCAAACUACUCAUGAGUAGCUGGUCAGCCGUGCUGUAAAGUGCUCCUUACUUUCUUUUCUUAUUUUCUUUAUUUCUUUUCUUUCCCUGCCUCCGCCCUUAUCUUUUGCUUGUCACCCCCCCUCCAUUUUUUUGCCUGUAUCUCGGAAGUCUUAGCUACUUCCAACAUGUACGCUCAGUUCAUUUAACUUAAUGAAUGAAGCAGGUAACUUGCUACCUAUUUCUCAAAAAAAAAAAAAAAAGCUGUAUUUUCUGAAUUAUCGUACUGCUGUAAAAUAACAAAGGAAAAAUUAUGUUAUACUUAGUUCUAGAAGUAUUUUUUAUAUUUUCCCCCAGCUUCUUUUUCUUUGGUUUUUUCUGAAAAAAAAUCCACCUAUAAGGUCCUUUUCUAAAUUAUGUCAGCACUUUCCAGAAAAAUCAAGAGUCCGUGCCAAGAGAAUUUGUUGGAAAAAGAAUUAAAUAAUUACUCACGAAAAUAUAAAUUUUUUUUUUGAGAUGUAGGUAGCACGCUACCCGCUUAAUUUAUUUCAUUUAGAAAUAAAUUUAGUUCGAAAUGUGAAUCAAUUAGAAUUCGAACUUGAGUCUCAGGUAUCAACUAUCAAAUUCUUUGCCGCUUGCUCUAGAAACGAUCGGUCUCACAAAAAUAUAAUUAUUAUCUUCUUUAAAAUAAGUUGUUCGCCUAUGACUAUUUUUCUAUUAUCUUCUCAGUAAGUACUCAGCUUGUACCAAGAGAAGUACUUCUAUAUAGCUUUCUAAUGGUAUUUUAGCUAAAAAGAUUAAAAAAACAAAAUACCAGUGCAUUAUUCAAAUUAUUAUUGAUUAGUUAUAUUUUACAGUACAUUAAUGUUCAUCUUAUAUUAUUAUUAUAUAUAUAUAUUUUUUUCUUUAGGACCUGGCUUGGGAGGAAUUCUACACUGUCAUACUUGCACCACGUCAUCAAUAACAAGCCAAUCAUAUUCAUUCUUUUCAAACAAAAGUACAAUAAAAAUACUUUUUUACAAUCAUGAUGGGACAUAUAUUCUUAAAAGGAUUAAUUUGAUUGAUUUGUUACGCCACGUCACUAAUAUACCCGUUGCAUUCUAGAAUUUUUCCUGACUUGGGGCCGGUGGAAAGAUUGUUUCUGUUCAUUAAAAUUUAUAAACUUUUUUUUAGUUUAUUAUUUUAUGUUCAAAAGAAGAAUUAAAAUAAGACUAUAAAGACAAAUCAGAAAGCGCCACGCAACUUUCUCGGCGCCAUUCAAUUGUCAGAUGUUUACUUGAAUCAAGUUCCUGUCAAUGUCGCACACUUACAUUCAAUGGGAGAUUUUUUUGGCCCGCUCAAUAAUUUUUUAUCAUUAAAAAUUGAUAUAAUCAACUAUAAUUAACUUUAGUAUCCUCCACAUGACCACAUGUCAGAGUUUGAUGGGCAUUUAAUACCACAUCGUCUAAGAGUUGAUUAACAUGGAUUAGUCACUGCUAAUCAGCAACGUCCGUGGUUAUUAAUUAAUAGCAAGGAAUAAAGUUUGUGGUUAAAAAAAAAAAAAAACGAAACUUUCCAUUAGAUGAAAUAUCUAUAGAGGUUUCAAAUUGAAGUACUUACUUGGUGUAAUUGGAAAUAAAAAAAUACAAAUUAAUUAAGUAGAAAAGGAAACAAUUUUAGAGAUUUCACGCAAGAUUUCAAAUCUAUUAGGGUGAAAAACCAAAUCCAGUUUAGAUUCUACCUCUCUUUAUCCCACUUCUGGAAAGACCCACUAAGGAAGGUAAAUGGCUCCUUAGUUCUUAAAAAAAAUAGUAUGAACAAAAAUUAAUAAAACAGUUUUUUAUGAUUUUUUUUUUCCAAUUUUUCAUCCUGUAAGUUCUAAAAAAAUUAUUUUUUUAAUGUAUAUUUUUUUCAUAUUUCAUUAGAAACUAAUAUUUUUGUUUUCUGAAAAACAAAAUGCAAAACAAAAACGAUAAUUUUUCACAAAAUUUAGAAAAAAAAUUUAAAAUAGGUUUUCUUUAAUACCAAACGAGCAAAAAAAAUUUUCAGGAAAUAAUUUUUUUUCAUACUAUUUUUAGGAAUCAAAUGGCACUUGGAAAGCACCAACAUCCAUCAUCUUAUCCAACAAAAUGAAACUUUGUUGACAUAUUGGAGUUUGGAGAUCCGGUAACAAAGUAAAAUAUGUGCAAUAAAGUCUUAAAAAUAUCAACUUCCAUCUAGAACCUUUCGUUCGGCUCAAAAAACAUUAUGUUUGGAUGGAUUGCGAUAACAAUAGCUCAAUCCUGCUACAAUCGAUACCGCAAAUAUUUUUUUUAUAGACGGAUACUAUAUCCUACUGUAGAACUAAAACUUUUUUCUCAUUCUCGCAGGACAACUCAUGUUCAAGAAUUAAUAGACAAAAGGCUAAAAAAUCUAAAAAAAAUGUUCACGGAAUUAGAUUAGUUUUUCAUCCCAGAAUAUAUUUGUGACGUGAGAGAUCGCACAGAUUAAUGGUCAAAUGUAGAAAACGAAACAAGAAAUAUAUAAUUGCAUUCCUUUUGAAUCGCCCUGGUCCCAAAAUCUACGGAGUAUGGCGUGGCGUGGCAUAGCGUGGCGUGCGCGAUGUGUUCGGAGAAUUGACCCAGUGAGUUGGUUGGACAUAAAAGAUGAUAAGGUUAGGAAAAUGGCUGUGCCGGACCAUAUGACUGGGAGUACUUACUCGACCCGAGAUGUUACCAUCCUCCUCGCAUGCACAUACUGUUACGAACUAAGGACCUGGGAUAAGGUUCAUUGCCAUAUUAUUUUCUGAGAAUUUUAUUUUACGUUUGAUCAUUGAUGAUAUCACUCGCGAUGUGUGCGAAAGAAUUGACCCAUUGAGUUGGUUGGACACAAAGAAUGAUAAGGUUAGAAAAAUAGCCGUGCCGGACCGUACGACGGAGAGUACUUACUCCACCCGAGAUGUUACCGUCCUCCUCGCAUGCACAUAUUGUUACCAACUACGAAUCUGGGGCAGGCUUCGUUACCAUAUUAUUUUUCUGAAAAUUUUAUUUUGCGUUUGAUCAUUAUUGAUGACAUCACUCGUGAUGUGUUUGGAGAAUUGACCCGUUGAGUUGGUUGGACAUAAAAGAUGAUAAGGUGCCGGACUGUAUGACGAGGAGUACUUACUCGACCCGAGAUGUCUCCGUCCUCCUGGAGUGCGCAUAUUGCUACGAUCUAAGGAUCUGGGAUAUGCUCCAUUGUCCUAUUAUUUCCUGAUAACUUUAUUUUGCAUUUGAUCAUUGAUGACAUUACUCGUCAGGUCAAAUCUUGUAUGAAAGUAUGAGAUUUUAAAAUAUCCUUUGGCAUUAUUUUAAUUUUUUAAUGCUUUUAACCAGGGCUCUUUUGAUAGAUGUUGCCUCUUUUUAAAUUAUUUUAAACACUAAUUAUAUAUAGUUUAAUAUAUAUAUAUAGAGUUGAGCUGAAAUACUAUCGGCAGCAAACGGGUUUCGUUGCCACCCAUUUAUUUUCGAAGAUGAAGCCUCCAAAUCGACGAUCAGUAUUGUUGACAAUGAUCUAUACCACUUGAAGUAUCUAGAAAUCAAAUUUCAUAUUUUUUCAAUAUUGUUCUCUUGUUCAUCAAGUGGGCGUAAAAAUGAAUUGCUGAAAAUAAAUAUCUUCUAAAAAGUGAUGAUAGGAAUUUUGUAAUCAAGAUCAAGAGUAUAGAUCUUAUUCUAAAUAGUUUAAAAAAUUUUAUACCAAAAUUCAAUUGAUUUGGAUAGCUUUACACCGUUAAACGAGAAAACGCCUCAUAUCAACCCUUAAAAUUAUAAAUUUUGAAACUCUUUGAUCAUUAGGCCAAUAAUGUCGAGAAGAUUUGAAAUUUGAUUUCUAGAUACUUCAAGUGAUAUAGAUCAUGUUCAACGGUACCGAUCGUCGAUUUGAAAGCUCCAUCAUCGAAAACAAAUGUGUAGCAACGGAGCCCGUUUGCUACCGAUAGCAUUCCAGCUCAACUAUAUAUAUAUAUUUGCCAUUGUCCAUUAGCUUACAAUGGUUUCUAGUUAAAAGAUGAAUAAUAAUUUAUUUAAAAUUAUUAAAAUAAAAUUUUUUUUUUUUGUCAAAUAAAUAACUUGUAUGUAAGAAUUGUGAGAAAUUAUCAUCCCUUCUCACAGAAAUUAUAUGUAAAAUUUAUAUUUUGGAAAAAUAAAAAAAUAGAAAUAACGUCAAACGAAGCGUUAAUUAAAAUUUUGAUAAUACACGUGAUGUAAUGAAAUGUGCCCGGUGUAUGCCUCACAUGAAAUAUCACCAAAAUCAUGGUGUCGCUAAAAAAAAAAAAAAAAAAAAAAAAAAAAAAAAAAAAAAAAAAAAAAAAAAAAAUCACCUAGUCGCCAACAAAGCGCAUAACGUGCCGGGCCUGGCCCUCACUCCUCUUUGGAAACCCCACUUAGGACAUGAUCCGGCCCGUAAAGAGAAAGGCCUAAAAUCAAAACGGGUCAGGUCCGGUCCGGGCCGGGCGCGGACUCUUCAUCUUAAACCCUUCUCCGCUUCUCCCUCACUCGAUACUCCGAUGCAUCAAACCCCUUACACGGGGCGCCCGACACCCUCCUCCGCCACCGCGCCUCGUGCCAUUCCAGGUACAAAAAUUCAAAGCAUAACAAAAUAAAAUAUGGUUCACAUAUGUAGAUCUAAAUAAUCACAAAGUAUUAUUCUUUUGAUUUCGAUAUUCAGAGGUAGAGAGGGAAUUACUUCUUUUGCAAGUUCAUAUAUAGUUAUAUAUGUGUAUAUUUUUUGGUGAUAUAAGCCCUGAUUCAAGUCAAUUUAGAAAUUCGCAGCUACCAGGUAGAAAUCUUGCUUCGAUCAUCAAUUGGACGCUUUUCAUAUUCACCACAUAUAGAAAAAAAGAGAAAGGUAAAGUUUCUAUAUAAUCAAAUAUUCAUAUGUUAUGUUUGGGGCAAUUCAACAAACAUCUUAUAAGCGUAAAAUCCAGAGUGUAAGUGCUCUGCAUGAGAGAUCGUCGGAGCUGUUAAUUAGCAUGUUCGAAAUUAUAUGUUGUAGGUUAUGGUGCAACCACUAGCGGUCGACUCAAAAAUGCUCGGUUCUAGCUUGUUUUGCGCUCAAAAUGAUUUGGCCGCAGGUCUAGCCUGGCCUGAAUCAGGCUCGGCAAUGGGGACUUCGGGCCAGCCUAGAUCGGUUAGCACCUCCAAUUGGUGCUAUAAUACACAACCAUUGACAGCAACACAAUUUGGCGACCAGGAUCUGGGCUCUCGUUAUUCCACACAUCAAUUUGAUGAUCUGGCGAGCUUGCUUGACAAUAACACGCGAGCAUCAACAGUUGGAGAAUCCUUCGCUCACAAAUCUUAUCUCCCUAGCCCUUGUUUGGUUGGGGAUUAAGGGGUGGAAUAAUCCCUUAACCCCCAUUUUAUCCCUAAACACCCUCAAAAAUAGAUGAGGUUAGCUAACCCCACCUCAAAUAAAUUAUCCCGGAUUAGCUAACUUCACCUAACCCCACCAAACUCCAACCAAACACUAUUUUCUAUUCAUAAUAAUUCACUAUCUUUCUUAUCACACCUACUCCAACCAAUCAUUAUCCUUCUUUAUCAAUCAUUAUCUUUUUAUCUCACCUACUCCAACCAAACACUAAUUUUUCAUUAUUCUAGACUAACUCCAACCCCCAAUCAAACACAAAAAAAUUUUAACCCCACUUUAACCAUGAACUUAAUUCUAUCCCUGGAAUAUCUACUUUUUCCUUAACCCCGAACCAAACGGAGGCCUAAGGACUAUAUCAUGGAUGGCGGGCUAGGUCUAGUGGUCCAACAGUCCUUAGAAAUGGCAGUGGCUAAAAGCCAGGGGACUAGUCAAAAUUCUAAUUGUCAACCUAAAACUGCGUCUUUAUCUAACUUAACUGAAGUUUUGCUUAAUGAAGUGUAUGAAGAGCAGAAAGCAAUCAGUUCUUUGCCACAACAACCCUUGCAGAAGCAGGGAAAUCAAUCGAAAUGUUCGUUAAAUGAUGACGGCAGACCAUUUCCCUCAGAUAGUUCUCCUGGAACAUAGGGUUUGCUGGGUCGAAUUUCUUUAGUACAUAAUCGGUUUAGAGUUUUUCAGUACAUAGUCGGUUUUUUAGUACAUAUCAUCACAGUUAUUCUUAGCUUCAAGUUAGAUUGUUAAUUCAUAGUACCUUUGCUUACAGGCUCAAUUAUUCUGAGGUGGCAAUUAGCCUUGUUCGCUUUCCAUCGUUUGAAAAGAUUGUCAUAUUUUCUUUCUUUUUCUUUGUAUCAAUGUCAGAACCAUGUACAAAAGAUUCGAUCCAUUUCUACUUGGAGCAUCGUUUGAUGGGUCCUGUUAGUUAUUUUACAUCAGAUUGCUCCACAAACUAGUUUCAUACCAUUUACGGUUUCUAACAUGCAGACCACACAAGUUUUAUCUCUCACUAGGAAGUACUCCUAUGAUAUGCCAGAUACUGCCAAAAAAAAACAAGUGAAAACUUAACCGGUUCGCUACAAAGCAUACCUCUUAUUCUCUUAUAGACGAUAAUCUCAUGACAUAUAUGGCCAAGUUAUGAAACGACGAAAUAAAUACAAUACAUAACAAGUAUGCAACAAAUUACCGAGGAAAAUCCAUAGACAAUAGCAGAGCGUCCUCCAGACUGUCCUGUUGUGAAUUGCUGCAACAUAAAGCUGAAGGCUCAUCCGCCGAGAUUUCUUUCUGAAUUUGGCUUUGCGGCGGUAUGUUAAGCUUCUCUUGACUCUUCUCAGCUGAGUGCUGCUUCAUAAGCCUUCUCAGUGCAUCAAGCUCGACCAACACUUCCUUCAUCUUCGGCCUCUCUUCCCCUUUAAUUCUCAAACACCUCAGCGCCACCUUUGCGAUUUCAUUAAGAUGCCUCACCCCUGCUUCCUUCACCACCCUCUGAUCCAACAUCUCCAGUAGCCGAUUCUGUUCAACCAACAUAGUGAAAUGCGAGGCUAGGUUCCUCCCUUCCUCCGACCGACAAAAAGAAAUAGGCAUCUCUCGCGUCAAUAUCUCAAUGAGUACCACACCGAAGCUAUACACAUCGCUCUUAUCUGUUAAAAGGCUCGUGCUGAAGUACUCUGGGUCCAAGUAUCCUAGGGUCCCUUGAACAACUGUGGUGAUAUGAGUUUGAUCAUAGGGCACUAACCUCGAAGCCCCAAAAUCUGAUACCUUUGCAUUGUAGCAUUCGUCAAGAAGUAUGUUAGCCGACUUGACAUCUCUGUGAAUGAUUGGUACUUUCGUAGCUGAGUGCAGAUACGCGAGCGAUGCUGCUGUCUCAACGGCUAUUCUUAAUCGAUCCUCCCAUGGCAUUGGGGCCGUUUGGUUACUGUGAAGAUGAUUAAAAAGUGUUCCAUUUGAAAUAAAUUCGUAGACUAGUAAGGGAACCUGGGUCUCUAAACAACAUCCCAGUAGUUUGACAACAUUCCUGUGAUUGAUCUGAGAGAGGAUGACCACUUCAUUCACGAAUUGCUCGAUUUGCGUCUGAUCAACCAUCUUUGAUUUCUUGAUGGCCACAACAGUUUGAUCGGAGAGCACUCCUUUGUACACAGUUCCAUAUCCUCCUCGACCGAGAAUCCGAUCCUUGCUGAAAUUAUCAGUUGCCUUUCUGAGUUCUUCAGAAGUAAAUAUUCUUGCCGGUGCUUUCUGUGAGAAGAUUUGUUGUUGUAACAUUAAGCCGCCAUUUUGGAGGAAAAAUUUCUGCCUAAGCUUUGUUUGCUUCCUUUUCUUCCGAAACCACUCAGCCCAGAAGCCUAGUGCGAGCAAAACAGCCAAUAGACCUAGUCCUGCAACUGCACAGGCACUGCAGAUUCUGAAUCCCACAACACAAACACUAGGAAAGAAUUAAAAUUAAAUUGAUAAAUUAUUUAAGUGCGACUAAAAGUAAAUUCAGUUCCUCAUCAGAGGAAAAGCUGCAGAGUUUUUGGUCGUCGUAUAUCUCUAAUUUACUAAAAAGCUUCUGCUUUCUUGCUCCAGAAAUGCGCCGGAACAGACACUUGGGUAUAACAAAAUCCCAAUGCUAGUUAAUGGUUACCUAGCCCAAUAGCUAGGGGCGCCAACCCCUCGCAGCCGGAGCCCGCCCUCAGCCCGUCGCCGCUGAUUCCGAAGGGACAAGUGCAGUUGAAUCCUCCCACCGUAUUGAUGCAUUUAUGAACGCAAGGGUUCGUUUUUGGAUCCGCGCACUCGUCGAUGUCUGUCAUGCAUUUCACAAACCAUAAAGUAGAUGAGCAAAAAAAUUAAUUAUUUAUUCGUCACAACUUCAAUUUUCCACCGUAAAGCGAGCGAGAGAAGAGAAGAAACAACGCUAAAACUAUGGUUUCCUCCGCAGAGCAGCAGGUAUUAUUGGUUAAAAAGCAGAUCAAUAAUACCUUGGCAUCCACCUUCCGUUUCUUCCAGGUAAGGGUUCCCCCGGAACCCUCGGGAGCAGUUGCAGCGAUACCCGAUGCCGUUUGUCGAGUCGUAGCAGUAGCUGCUCCCCUUGCACGCGUAGUCGUCGUCGAACUCUCCUCCUCUUUUCCCUGUCACCUCGGCGCAAGUCUCCUCCCCUAUCGACCACUCCAGCACCAUCGGCCUGUACUGAUCCUCCGGAUUACCGACUAAGUCCUUCUUCGAGAACGCAUAGUAGUCCUCGUCGACUAUGAAUGCCUUGCUACAGGGCUCCCCGGACUGGUCUUUAUGGGUGGACCCUGUGAGGCUCCUGAUGCUGGUGAAGGAGAAGUUGAGGCUCUUCAGCCCCUUGGGCAGCGAAACCUGGCAACACCCGACGCCGGAGCAUGCGCCGGAGACGAUGCUGUCGUUCGUCGCGCAGAAGGAGACGCACCCACCGCUGUACCUGUGGUUGGCGCCGCCCCCCUGCGCGAGCAUGAGGACCAUGGCGUCGCAGCCGACGGCGGUGAACUUGUUGUGGGCGUCGGAGAAGGUGUAGGGGGUGCCGCGGAGGCUGAGGCCGCGGUCGGGCGGGGGGAGGCUGGCGCCGGAGGAGUUGUCGUAGCAGCGCCACGCGACGGCGCGGCCGACGAUGCGGACGUAGCCGGAGAGGAUGGAGAUGUCGAGGACGACGUAGGGGCGGGCGGGCGCCGAGGGGAGGGAGAUGAUGGAGGAGUUGUAGCAAGGCGGAGCGUCCGGGAGAAGCGCCGAUGGGUCGAUGUAGUUGGAGGAGGAAGGCGGUGGCGAUAAUAUCCCCAGCAAUACGAGGAGGAGCAGAGAAUGGACGUGGAGAUCAGGGAGAUGAUCAGGAGGAAGACGAAAGACCAUGGCGCUUCCUUAAUUCCUUCCCCAGUAGACACUAGUCUUGAUUAGGAAGGACGAGGCGGCUGCAGCCUGCAGGCAGAGUCGGAGCUAGCGUCGGCGUCGGACUAAUGGUGGAAACGAUGGUUCGACAAUUGUCGGUAGCCAAUUGCUGGUUGUUGUUGACUCAGAGUCAACACUUUAUUUUUAUUUUAAUUUUUAAUAAUUAGUGGUUGUAUCAGAGACUCUGACUCGUUUUUAUUUUGUUUAAAUUUUUAACUCUCUCUAUUCAGUAGUGCUGCAGCUGUUUAGAAACUAUAUUGUCUGUUGUCAAUAUAUUAAUAUUUAAUAGUAUAAAAAAAAAAUUAAUUUAACUUAAAUAUAUAAUAUGUAUUUAGUAAUGAGAUUUUUUUUUUUUUUUUGAGAAAAAGAUAACACGCUAUCCGCUUCAUUCAUUGAUUAGGUGAAUUAAACUACAAGUAUGGAGCAACCAGGCUCCGAAAGAAAGAAAAAAGAAAAAAGGAAUCAAGACACGAGGAGAAGAUCCCACUCCUUCACGAAAAGCUUGAGAUUGUGGACCGCUUGCCCGGAGUUAGCUGGGAUAGUCCAAAAUAAAGAGUCGUUCCUGACCUUCCAUAUAAUCUACCAGCUGCAUCAUACUAGAACAGUAAGUCAAGAACGUUUCUUUAAAUGAUCCUUUUUGCCAAACCACCUAUCCCACUAGAACAGUAAGUCCAAAAAAAUGUAAUUUUUUUGGAAUAUAAUUUUACAUUUUCAUCUAUUUUAAAAGUGAAAAUUGAAGAACUAUGGAGAGGAGUAUCUAAUAUACAACGUGAUGAGUCUAGCCGGGAAAUAAAAUGAUCGGUGGCUGGCUUGGUUUGGGAGAAACCAAAUAAUCAUCGGAGGCAGAACAACAAACCGUGUGGGUCCUGCCGGACAUUCGAUCACUCGUUAGGGCUUCGGUUCGAGCAUUGCUUUUAACAAGCAUGAUUCAUUUCUAGAGUUUUUCUCUUUUCUUUUCGUUUUAUCUUUUUCUUUCUUUUUUUUUUUUUAGACUGUUUAGUUUAAUUCAUCAUUUUUUGAUGAAUAAAUCAGGUAAGAUGCAAUAUUUUUCUAAAAAAAUUCUCGCUACUCACAUUGAUAUGAUUAAGUGGUCAAUCUUAUUUCUAGAAUGAGUGAUAUAUAUAUGAUUUUUUUUCUUUAAAUGUAUAAAUAAAUAGCAGAACUUUUAGGCUUCGUUUGGUUUAGGAUGUAAGCGGAGAUAAUAAAAGUUAUCCCCGCUUUUCCCUGUUUAAUCAAUGUAUCUCCAUUACACUCCCACUUUUUCAGUCAAGGAAACUACAACUAUGGAGCUUCUAUGAUUGGGGAUAUCCACUGCAAUGUUUAAAGAUUUUCUACUGCACCGCUUAGUGCGAUUGGACAUUAUUGGUCGGAAUGCCGUUUCGCGAGUAAAGAAGCUGGCCAAACACUCGCUCAAUCACAAAUAAGGCAAAAUUUGGUAUGGUUUUUUUUAUUUUUUUAAUUUUUUAGAUGUUUAUUUUAUGUAAUUUGACAUAUUGAUAAAAAGAAUUUUCUUUUCUUCUCAUUGUUCGCUAGUGAUAAAUGAUAACUUAUUUAUAAAGAUUUUUUGAAACAACCAAAAUUAUUUAUUUUAAAGUUUUCACUUUUUACUACUAAAUAAAUGUUUCAGAUAUAAGGAUUGUAAGCAAUCCACCAUUUCCUUUUCCACUAUUUUAUAUAGAAAUUUUAUUUAAUAAAAAAACAGCAACAAUACCAAACAAGACUAAACAUGUAAUUUUUUGGAUUAUUAAUUAAGAUCUUUUUAUUUCUUAGGUCUAUGAUUCUUCACUAGGGACAUUUUUUUUUGGAGAAAAAAUAGCAUAUUAUUUACUUUGUUUAUUUUUUAAAAAAUAAACUUAGCUAAAAAUAUUAAUGAAGUAUAAUUCAAACUUGAAACUUUAGGUACCAAAUAUCAAGCCUCUUGUCACUUACGUUAAGAACCAUUAGUUGAUCCUAUGCUUGUAAGUACAAGUAUAGGCAUAGGGCCAAAAAUAUUGAUCCUCUGCCUACACUUCUACUUACAUCUAUAGACAAACCCCAAUGUAACAAAAAAGGCACAUCAAGCCAAGGUGGCGGUGAUAGCAGCCACACCAAUACGGGGAGGAGGAGAAGAAAUGGUCUAGAGAGAGAAAGAGAGAGAGAGAGAGAGAGAGAGAGAGAGAGAGAGAGAGAGAGGAGGACAACGAAAAAGCAUUGCGCUUCUAAUUUCCUUCCUCGAUCGCAGCAGGACUCCAAACAUUAUAGGCUUCGUUUGAUUCGGAUAUAAACAAAAACUAGCUAUUACAAAACUAGGUAUAAAUAUGGGGUAAAAAAAAUAGCAUUUUGAUAAUAAAUUGGGUUGUUAUCGGAGAUAAGAAAAAUAGUAUUUGGAUAGAUAAUAUGAAAUUAGAAAAAUAAUUGAUAGUUAUAUAUAAAAAAUAGAGCCGUUGAUAGGGAUAGUUAUACCAACUUAUUUCAAAUACCUGAGAAUUACUAUUUUUGGAUAAAAAAUUUACGUUCGGGCAUAAAAAGAGGGAUAAGAGAUUAUCCCUCAUCUUAUCCCCGAUCCAAACGCUACCUUCAGGAAGAAAGACGGAGGAUGUUCUUGAAAGAAGGCGUGGUAGUCCUGAAUAGCAGGUGAGAUUGGGGAUUUAGGAAGGAGGCUGCAGGUAGGAGUUCAUAUCCCCAAUCAUUGCUCGUUGUUUUCUCCGUCUUUUUUUUUUAUGUAGGUGUUUUUGGUGGUAUUGUCUAUUUUAUAUAUAUAGAGAGAAAGUUACGCUAGAAUAUUAUUAAUAGUAAAAAAAAUUUUUUGCUAUCAAAUUUUUAGCUCUUGAAUUAAUUAUUUUUAUUAUUUCUAAUUAUUGGAUUAAAUAUAAUAAUCCAAUGGAGACCAUGUUGGCCCAGUGGCCCUAAUCGUCUAUCAGAUUUUGAUGAUAACAAAUAAUCACGAUUAUUGGACUAAUCUCUUAUCUUGAGUCUUGUGUUUUAGAUCUCUCUAUCUUCAAAAAGGAUUCAAGAUGGACAAUAUUCUAGCACCAAGCUUCACCACUUGAAGCUGUGUUUUGCUUCUUUUGUCAAAUAGACAAGCUCACUCUCUUCACUCUUAACUUGAUUAAUAUUAUGCUUUAUAAUUAUAUAUAUAUAUAUAUAUAUAUAUAUAUAUAUAUAUAUAUGAUAACUACCAUUUUUUUUAAAAUUUUUUUGAUAUACCAAUCCUACUAUAAACAGGUAAUCACAACUCAUCAGGGCAAUCUCAACUCACCAGACUCCUAGUUUUACCGUUGGAUUCUCCCCCCCACUUAAUCCAAAGAUUUUAUUUUUAGGUUUAUUAGUUCGUUUAAUUUUUUGGCUACGUUUAUUUUCUUUACGUUUGAGCUUUUCGUGUGCUAGUUAAACAAAGCUCCAAGCCGUGAAACGGAUGCAGGGGCGGUUGAAGAGUUGUGAGCUCUUACAACCUAGAGGUGAUCUACUAUGAAAACGCCCGUUCGUGGUUCGGAAGUGUAGUUGAGGAAGAAGAAAGUUCGAAGUUCUUAAACGAAGAGAGAGAAAAAUGUUCUAAUUUAGAGUGAUAUUCAAAGUGAGUUCAAAUCUCUUUCUUAACUCUCGAUUCUCAUAAUUCUAGUGACUUCAAAAAUUCGAGUUUACUUGAUAGUUCAACGAUGGUUCACUCCGGAGUUAUGGUAGAUAAAUAUCGGAGCCUGCCUAGACAGUCAACAUGAAAGCCCGCGGGUGUUUGACAAAGGCCCGCGGGUCUUCAAACACGUGCGGUCGACGAAGAGCCUGGUGCACGCGGCGAAAAGAAUUGAAACAUACAAACCCGGCAGUUUUUAAACACCCGCGGGUCUAGAGCUCCUUGUCAAAAAGACUGUGUGCGUCGAAAAGAAUUGAAGCAUUCAAGACCCAGCAGUUUUCAACACCCGCGUGUCUUGUGCUCCUUGUCGAAAAGACUGUGCGCGGCGAAGGAGACCUAAACCCGGCAGUCUUUCAACACCCGCGGAUCUAGAGCUCCCUGUUGAAAGUUUUCAACACCUGCGAGUCUUUCAGCACGACUGAAAGAACGGUCUGUCGGGUCUAACGCACGCGGCGACGAAGGUGUUUUAGACCCGCGGGUCUAAAGCGCGGCGGACAACAGCGUUGGACAGUUCAGUUUGUCAGAAACACAAAGACCUAGUGGGCUUGUUGUUUGUCCGUCCUAGGUUUUCCAAAGUUUUCUAAGCCUAGGUGAAAGCCCGCGGGUCUUAUCCCAGGUCUUUAACCUUGAAAUGUCUUGUGUUUUAAACUCGUUAAAAACUUAUAAAUUUUCAGGAAAAGUGGAUUAGUAUUUAAAUCUUAAAACAAAUUCACUAGAUAUUCCACUAUUCUACUUAUCAAAUUUGAAUCGAGUUUCAAAGAGUGAGANNNNNNNNNNNNNNNNNNNNNNNNNNNNNNNNNNNNNNNNNNNNNNNNNNNNNNNNNNNNNNNNNNNNNNNNNNNNNNNNNNNNNNNNNNNNNNNNNNNNNNNNNNNNNNNNNNNNNNNNNNNNNNNNNNNNNNNNNNNNNNNNNNNNNNNNNNNNNNNNNNNNNNNNNNNNNNNNNNNNNNNNNNNNNNNNNNNNNNNNNNNNNNNNNNNNNNNNNNNNNNNNNNNNNNNNNNNNNNNNNNNNNNNNNNNNNNNNNNNNNNNNNNNNNNNNNNNNNNNNNNNNNNNNNNNNNNNNNNNNNNNNNNNNNNNNNNNNNNNNNNNNNNNNNNNNNCGUGUGCUUUUCGAGUUUGCAUUUCUUUUAUUUGCAUCGGUUUUUUAAUUUGCUUGAUUAUUUGGAUUUUUAUUUUAGAAACCUAAUUCACCCCCCCUCUUAGGUUGCCAUUUUGAUCCUCAGACCACUCAACUCUAACGGGACUACUCAACACUAAUGGACAAAUAUCAUCCUAACCAUAUAGUUUUUUUAAAAUUUUUUUUACCAUCAAUAGUAUAUAUAUAUAUAUAUAUAUAUAUAUAUAUAUAUAUAUAUAUAUAUAUAUAUAUAUAUAUAUAUAUAUAUAUAUAUAUAUAUAUAUAUAUAUAUAUAUAUAUAUAUAUAUAUAUAUAUAUAUAUAUAUAUAUAUAUAUAUAUAUAUAUAUAUAUAUAUAUAUAUAUAUAUAUAUAUAUAUAUAUAUAUAUAUAUAUAUAUAUAUAUAUAUAUAUAUAUAUAUAUAUAUAUAUAUAUAUAUAUAUAUAUAUAUAUAUAUAUAUAUAUAUAUAUAUAUAUAUAUAUAUAUAUAUAUAUAUAUAUAUAUAUAUAUAUAUAUAUAUAUAUAUAUAUAUAUAUAUAUAUAUAUAUAUAUAUAUAUAUAUAUAUAUAUAUAUAUAUAUAUAUAUAUAUAUAUAUAUAUAUAUAUAUAUAUAUAUAUAUAUAUAUAUAUAUAUAUAUAUAUAUAUAUAUAUAUAUAGUCCACUGAGAUACUAUCGAUACCGUCAAGAGCUUGGUGCUACUGAGUUUUCCGUCGUUAGAUUUAAUCCUUUGACUAUUUUUAUCCGUUAAAUUAUAUUAUUCAAUCUAUAACUAAUUCAAUUCUAGAGGGUUCACAUCAUUCUAACCGUACAUUUUUUCAUUUAAUGACCGAAAAUCUAAUAGCACAAAUAGCUUGGUACUAUUGAUAGUAUUCCAGCGAGUUGAGCUAGAAUACUCUCAAAAGCAUCAUGAAGGUAGUGAUUUUGAGUUUUUAGCCAUUAAAUGGAGGGAUGUGAGGUUGAGAUGAUAGUGGUAGGUAAAAUAGUGUUUGAUCCAAAAACUAUUAGUAAUCAAGAAGUAAAUUCAAAGGCUAAAAACUUGGAAGCGCACCAAGAGAUUGGUGCUUCUAAUUAAAAGUAUUCUAGCUCAAUUAGUAUUCCAGCAUAUAUAUAUAUAUAUAUAUAUAUAUAUAUAUAUAUAUAUAUAUAUAGAGAGAGAGAGAGAGAGAGAGAGAGAGAGAGAGAGAGGUUUCUAUACUUUCGAAAGUACGGAGGCCUCCGUACUUGUAAGUUAUUUUCAAUGAUGGGACUUCCAAUUCGGCGAUCGGUUUCAUUAAAUAUGAUCUACGCUAUUGGAACUAUCUAGAAACCAAAUUUCAUAAUUUUUGACUUUGUUUGCCUAGUGAACGAGUAGCAUUAAAAUGAACGGCUGAAAAUAAAAAUCUCAUAAAAAACAGUGAUAAAAGACUCAAAUUUCAAAUCAGUAGUAUUGUUCUUACUCUUAAUGUUAAGUAGAAUUUUCUAUUAAAAUUUCACAUAAUUUGAAAACUUCUACACCGUUGAAUUUAAAAACAUGUCACAUCGGCCGUUAAAAUAGUCAUUUUUGAGAUCCUGUGAUCGUUUGGUAAAUGAUGUCGAAAAAUUAUAAAAUUUGGUUUCUAGAUAGUUCCAAUAGCUUAGAUUUUGCCUAACGGAGCCGAUCGUCGAAUCGGAUUUCCUAGAAUCGAAAACAACUUACAAGCACGGAGGCCUUCGUACUUUCGAAAGCACGGGAGACGUACUAUAUAUAUAUAUAUAUAUGUAUAUAUAUAGUGCGGCUAGAAUGCUUAUGGAAGCACGGAAGGCUCCGUGCUUCCAUUUUGUUUUCGAUGUUCGGACUUUCGAAUCGGCGUUUGGCUUCGUUAGACUUGAUCUAGAGUAUUUGAAAUAUCUAGAAAAUAAAUUUUGCGAUUUUUCGAUAUCAUUUGCCUAGUGAUCGAAGUGGCUCAAAAUCAACGGCUGAAAAUAAAAAUCUUACAAAAUAUGAUGAUAUGACAUUAAAAUUUUAGAUCAAAGUUAUUGAUCUUGUUUUAUAUGGUAUAAAGAAUUUUCUAUCAAAAUUUCAUGUGAUUUGGAUAUUUCUACACCGUUAAACUUGCAACCGGCUCACCACGGCCAUUAAAAUUAUUGAUUUUGAACCCCUUCGAUAACUAAGCAAAUAAUAUCGAAAAAUCACAAAAUUUAUUUUCUAGGUACUACAAAUACUCUAGAUCAGCUCUAACGGAGCCGAUCGUCGAUUCGAAAGUCCGAACAUCGAAAAUAAUUUGAAAGCACGAAGUAAGCAUACCAGCCCACUCUAUAUAUAACACUCGCUGACUUCACGUCGACCUAAAAAAAAGUAGUGAACUCCACGUGUCUGCCUUGCCUUCAUUUCACUUUUUUGUCUCUGUGAAGGCGGAAGAGUAGAGUGAGGGAGACAACAUCUACUCUGUUCCAAGGGAACAAAGGCAGAGUGGUCGAGUGAAUUCAUAAAGGGAGAAAAAGGAGACCUUCCCUUUACGCUUCAUCGGUCGUACUUCGCUUAUUUGAGACUGCACCACUUUAAAAGGAGACAGCACGUGUUCGUUGAUUAUCUAUGCAUAAAGAACUUUGUUAGUGUAGUCUAGUCUGAUAGUUGAAGUUCUUGUUAAUGGGCAGGAAAAACAUUAUUUGAUAAACAGAUGGGGCGUCACAAGCAUCUAAUGAAAACCCCUUUAACAAGGGGAAAGGGCGUCAAGGCCACGAAGAUUGUGAAAGAAAGAACCGGCCUUUUAGUUGAAAAAAACUAGAGCAAACCCAAGCAAAAGUGAGAUGGCAACGGCUAAAAUCACCCGAGAGAGAGGAGUAGGAAAUAUACUAAAAGAAGGCAGGUACGGUUCCCUACUCCUUAAAAUGUCAUCUUGAUGUGAUUUGAUAAGAGGAAAUUGCCAAAAGAUUGAGAUAGAUAUGUUUGAAUGAAUUCAGACCUCGUCAUGUUCAUCCUUAUUCCCUAACAAAAAUGAAAUCUCUUUUAUUUUAUUAAUUUUUUUAAUCACCUUCACGAAGGAGGUGGACUUCAACCAUCCUCUAUGGCCUUUCAUCUUUCUAUUCUUUUAAAAGAUGCGCAUAAAACAAAACCAAAACCGUGAAGUUUAGCGGUCAUGUUUGAAUCCAAACUAGCUGGAGAUUCGCACAUGACUCUACGAAAUUUCAUAUAAAUCAGACUCAGCCCUAAAUGAUAUAUAUAUAUAUAUAUAUAAAAUUUAAGGUCAUAGGCGUGGGCCAAUUGGCCAAGUGGUCCGAAGCUCUAACGCGUGGCCUACCUGGGAGCAUGUGUUUCACAGAUUCAGAAUGGCCUGUAGCUGCGGGCCUCAAGUAUAGACUAUUGAGUGCAUUAGGGAAAUAAAAACUAAACUUUAAUCAAUUUUAACUGUCUCUUUAGUUAUAUAAACUGUAGAUCCGGAGCGAAUUCUGAAACAAAAUAAAAAUAAGGCAAGUAAAAAACAGCUAAAAUUAAGCUUUACAUUGUGUUUUGUCGACAGGACGGGCAUCCAUGACGCGAGCCAAAUUUCAUAAGAGAGAGGGGGAAAAACGACGUCAGAAGAAACAAACAAAGUGAGGACGUCCGCUCCUUAAAUGCUGAGUCGACGCUCUUCAUUGCUCCUUAACCCAUGCCUGCGCCCACAGGAAGAAGGAAAAAUUCUAGAAUACAUCAGGUAUAUUGAUGAUGUGGCGUAAUAAAUCAAUCAAAUAUUUUUCUUUAGAGGUACAUAUUUCAUCAUGAUUAUAAAAAAAUAUUUUUAUUGUACUUUUAUUUGAAAAGAAAAAAAUAAUUAUUUUGUUAUUGAUGACGUAGUGCAAGUGUGACAGUGUAGAAUUCCUCACGAAGAAGACCCAUACCUGCACCCACACGAAGAAGAAUGUCGACCUCUUGAUAUAAUUCUUAUUCUUCCUCGCAAGUCUCAAUAUCUCCCAUCGAAGUAGAGAAUUAAUUUAAGCGCCUUCAUUAAUCUAUGANUCGACCUCUUGAUAUAAUUCUUAUUCUUCCUCGCAAGUCUCAAUAUCUCCCAUCGAAGUAGAGAAUUAAUUUAAGCGCCUUCAUUAAUCUAUGAUUGAUCGAUCGAUGCAUAUUCCACCGUUAUUCAACUUCUUGCACCUAGUAUGGCUGCUUGUGCCGGCAUCAUCCUCUUCCCCCGACUCCGUCGAUCCAUCGGCGCUCGGGAUGGACGCCCCCAGCUGCAAUUUCGACUUCCCAUUCGGCGCCCCAGGCUUCUCCCAAUACCGAAAGGGCUUCGAGGUGUCUUGCAACCCCAGCCUUUCGGGGAGCCCCUCGUGGCUCCAAGUCGGCUCGAAGAAGCUGCAGAUAAUGAACAUCUCGAUAGCCGAAGGCUACGUGCGCACCGGAAUCACCCCAUCCACGUGGCAGUGCUCUCGCUCGGGCGAGACGGGAGAGGGCAUCAGCCUGGAGGGCACCCCGUUCACCUUCUCCCACACGCGGAACAAGCUGACCGUCGUCAGUUGCGACACCUUCGUCAGCUUUGCGGACCAUCGAAAUUCUAGCGUCUCCGUCGGCUGUGUCUCCUUCUGCCCCUCGCAGCUGAGCAUUACGGAUGGCGCCUGCUCUGGUGUCGGCUGCUGUCAGGCCGCGAUCCCCGUGGGGCUCAAGAGUUUCGACGCACAAUUCUACAGCAUCCCGGACGAGAUAAAACGGCGGUGGAAACUGAAAGUUAACAACACUCUGCAGCCGAUGACGCCCUCCUCGUCCGGUCACCAAAGAAAGGAAGCUCCAAGUAUAGUUUUCGAAAACACGACGCCGCUGUGCAGCAAGGUGUUCAUCGCGGAGUAUGAAAAUUUCACCUUCUCGAAGAGGUAUCUGGAGAUCAGCGGCGACUGGGAGGACGCGCCCCUGUCAAUGGUGUUGGAUUGGGCGAUCGGGAACGAGACGUGUGUGGAUGCGAGGCGGAGGAACGCGUCUGACUAUGCUUGCAUCGACGAUAACAGCUCCUGCUACGACUCCCCGGAUGGGGUGGGGUAUCGCUGCAACUGCAGUGAGGGCUAUCAGGGCAACCCUUACGUCGCCGGCGGAUGUCAGGGUAAGUCUAGUAACAAUAAAAAUAAGGUAUAUAUAUGAUCAUUGUCGCAUGUUCAGCGUUCGGCGGCGAAGUUCAAAAAUUCGAAAUUCCACAAAAAUUCGUUUGAAAAUAUUUUGACAAUCAUUGAACUGAUAAACAAUCAGCAUAUAAUACUAGAAUAUAUAAAGGUAUAAAAUCUCUAUGCAAUACUUUUAUUUUUCAUCAUUUUUAAGAUGAUAAAAGUGAAAAAUGUAAAGAACAAUCUACUUAACAAUGAAUAAUGUAUACAAUAAGUUUUUUAAUAUAUUUUUAUAAUUUUUUUGGGUGAUAUCUAUCUGCUAGCAAAUAAUUUGGCCAAAUAUUCAAACGACUAAGAAGUCUUGAACUAUUAACAAAUUUUGUAAAAAAUUGAAGUCGUGGAACACCUCUAGUUAAGUCAAUGUUUAUAUCUUCUCAGACAUUGAUGAAUGCGCGGAUCGAGACAAAAACAACUGCCUGUGGAAUUGCAGGAACGAGCCCGGGAAAUACCGUUGCAUUUGUCCACGCGGACACCGGGGAGAUGGAACCAAGUACGGAAGUGGUUGCACCAGGGAAGCCGCAAUUACAGAGAUUGGCCUAGGUACUCUGCUUUAAGCCCUGCUAACAUUAGAGUUUAUAUGUUUCCCUGGUAACAAUUUAGAAAUGGAUCACAAUCUAAGCAUAUCAGCAACAAAUAGCACAAAUAGGUUUGCGCUUAUUGCCUACUCUGUUUAGCUUCUGAUUUUUCACUUUGAAGUCGUAGACAACUUUGGCAAAGUGUUUGACUUAAGAAAGGACUAGGACUAUAAAUGCAAUCGGCGAGUACAGUAGCUUCUAAGCUCAAAUGCAUCGGCCAAAGUUGUAGAGAGAAUUGAAAGAUAUCCGAGAGUGAUUACUAUUACUAUUUUCUUUGUUGAGAGAGAAAAGUAAUAUAUCAUUCGUUUUAUUUUUUUUAUAAAUAAAAUUAACUGAAAAUAUAGAACAAUCAGACUUCGAACUUGAAAACAUUGUUAGCAGCCAUCAAACACUUUAUCACUUAUAUUAGAAAGGACCAAUAUAUUAGAGAGAUUUUUAAUAGAGAAACUGUUUUAUUCAAUCUAACAACUUUGGUCAAUAAUAUUUUUGUAGAAUCUUCGAUCAGAUCAGGGCCAUAGAGCCUCUGAUUUCCUAGAAAAAUGAAAUGAUCUCCAAAUCUUUUAUAUAUAUAUAUAUAUAUAUAUAUAUAUAUAUNCUAUAUAUAUAUAUAUAUAUAUAUAUAUAUAUAUAUAUAAAAUAUAUAUAUAUAUCCAACCACUCCUACAAGUGAACAAGAGAAAAGAAGAGACUGUUGGAAUUUUGACAUUAAUUAACGAAACUUGUAAGUUUUGAAUUGUACACAGCGGUUGGGCUGUCGGCUAUGAUUCUGAUCUUCCUGGGAAGCUUGUGGAUAUACUGGCUGCUGAAGAAGCUGAGGCUCGGAAGACUCAAACGUCAGUACUUCAUGCAAAACGGAGGCCUACUAUUGCAGCAGCGAAUCACAUCCGCUCGCAGGGCCACCGCGAGGAUCUUCACCAUCGAAGAGCUCGAGAGAGCCACCAAUGGCUUCAGCAAGGACAGAGUGAUCGGCCACGGCGGCUACGGCACGGUAUACAAAGGAAUACUUCCUAACGACCAGAUCAUCGCCAUUAAGAGAUCGAAGCUGGUGGACGAAAUCCAGAUCGAAUCCUUCAUAAACGAGGUGGCCAUCCUCUCUCAGAUCGAUCAUAAGAACGUGGUUAAGCUACUGGGUUGCUGCUUAGAAUCUCAAGUCCCUCUCCUGGUCUACGAGUUCAUCUCCAACGGCACACUUUUCCGCCACAUUCACGAGAAACCCAACAAUGUGAUUCCGUGGGAGGCUCGCCUCCGAAUCGCAGCAGAGACCGCGACAGCUCUGGCGCAUCUUCAUUCGAGGGCUUCUGUACCCAUCAUUCAUAGGGACGUUAAGUCAGCUAACAUAUUGUUGGACGAGAGCUACACCGCAAAGGUGGCGGAUUUCGGGGCUUCGAGGUUGGUGCCUUGCGACCGCACGCACGUAACGACGCUAGUGCAGGGGACGCUGGGUUAUUUGGACCCCGAAUACUUCUACACGAGCCGGUUGACGGAAAGAAGCGACGUUUACAGUUUCGGAGUUGUGCUGGUGGAGCUGCUAACGGCGGAGAAGCCUGUGUCGUUUUGUCGGACGGAGACGGAGACGAACCUGGCCUCGCAUUUCGUGAUGCUGCUGCAGGGGAAGAGGCUGUGGGAGGUGGCGGACAGUCGGAUGGUGGCGGAGGCGGGGGAAACGCAAAUGCUGCCGGUGGCUGAUCUCGCGAGGAGAUGCUUGAGCGUGAAGGGAGAGGAGAGGCCGACGAUGGAAGAGGUGGCGGUAGAGCUCGAUGCGCUUCUAAGGCUCAUGAAGCAGCACUUAGCAUUGAGAAGAAGCUUACAGGACGGGGCGAGGCCUCUUGCUAAGCCUUUAGCUAUCAAUGACAAUAAUACUAUUGACGAGGUUGGUGCAGAGAGAGUCUGUGAAGGAGGAUGAGCACGGUGAAUGCAAUCUAAUUAACAAAUUAAAUAUUAAAGUGUAUAAAAUUGUAUGGUGCUGUCAAAGUGAAAGUUGUAAAAUGCUUGAUUGUCGAUUUAUUGUAAAAGUGUUGUCUAUUAUAGAGAAAGGUGCCGUUUCACAAAAAUUCUAAUAAACUAAAUUGUAUAAAAGAAAUUAGCUGUUGAAAACUUUUCCGGCUACAACCCAUUUCAUACCAGUCACGUGAACUUCAAAUUCUUUUGCUUAACCUUCUUUCCCUCCGUGCUCUUUUAUUUUCAUUUGAGUUAUUUUAUCCAAUUAAAUUAAAAAUUUUAUUAUACUAAUUAAUCAACAGUUUUGUACAAUUUUAAUUUGAUUAAAAAAGUUCUCUAUUAUAAAUACAGACAGUUUUGUAUAAUUUUAAUUUGAUUAAAAAAAUUCGCCACCUUUGCAGUGUGUAAGGGGGACAUGAGGAACACGAGAGUCCUUCCUCCCCCAAGGGAGAAAGGGGGACAGGAGUAUCACGAGAGAGAGAGAGAGAGAGAGAGAGAGAGAGAGUAGAAAUCUGUAGUAGGAUUGGGAGAGAAUAAAAAAAUGGUACAAAUUUUUUAAAAAAAUUCAAGUAGUGUAAAAAAUUUUAAAAGUACAAAAAGAAAAUCAAUGCAUCUCCACUACGCUCCCACUUUUCAGUCGCGAAAGCUCCAACUACGGAGGUUCCAUCAUUGGGAUAUCCACCCCAAGAGAUUUCCUUCCACACGGCUGAUUGCAAGUGGAUAUUAUUGGUCCAAAGCGCGUUUUGGAAUGAAAAAAUUGGACCAAACACCGACUUAAUCACAAAUAAGGUGACUUUUGAUAUAGUUAUCGUUUUUAAAAUUUUUAAGACGUUAAUUCAAUAGUGAUGAAUGACAAUUUAUUUAAAUUCUUUUAGGCAACUAAAUUAGUUAUUUUAAAAUUUUUAUUUUUAUUGUCAAAUAAAUACCAUAAAUAUAUAUAAGGAUUGCAAGUAAUUCACCAUUCAUUUCUACACUAUUUUAUAAGUAAAUUCUAUUUAACGGAAUGAAUAAAAUAGCAACUAAUACCAAACAAGGCUAAACAUGUAAUACUUUGAAUUAUUAAUCACGAAUUAAUUCCAUUUAUGCUUGAGAUUGACAUAAUUUUGUUUCUUAAUUAGGUCUAAAAUUCUUCACCGGAGGCUAUUGGUUCUAUGUAACAUGUGUAUGUACAACGGGGUCAGGGCAUAUGUUUGGAAAUUUGACGUCAGAAGAAGCAAACAAAGCGACGACGCCCACUCCUUGACUGCUGAGUCGACGCUCUUCGUCACUCCAGCAAGAUCACCAAGAUCAUAUCAUAUCACACACCACACCCACACCCACACCUUCACGGUAUCAUUCUUAUUCUUCCCCUCACGCGCGUCUCUAUAUCUACCAUCGAAGUGGAGAAUUAAUUUAAGCGCCUUCAUUAAUCUAUGAUCGAUCGAUCGAUGCAUAUUCCACCGUUAUUCAUCGUCUUGCAGCUAGUAUGGCUGCUUGUGCCGGCAUCAUCCUCUUCCUCCGACUCCAUCGAUCCAUCGGUGCUCGGGAUGGACGCCCCCAGCUGCAAUUUCGACUUCCCCUUCGGCGCCCCCGGCUUCUCCCAAUACCGAAAGGGCUUCGAGGUGUCCUGCGACCCCAGCCUUACCGGGAGCCCCUCGUGGCUCCAAGUCGGCUCGAAGCAGCUGCAGAUAAUGAACAUCUCGAUAGCCGAGGGCUACGUGCGCACCAGAAUCACCGCCUCCACAUGGCAGUGCUCUCGCCAGGAUGUGGCGGGAGCAAACAUCAGCCUGGAGGGCACCCCAUUCACGUUCUCCCCCACGCGGAACAAGCUGACCGUCAUCAGUUGCGACACCUUCGUCAGCUUUGAGGNUGCGAUUCAGCAUGUAAUUUUUUGAUUAACCUCUUGUUCCUAAAAAAUGAUACGAACUAAUAAUUCUUCGACAAGUUUUGAUUUUUCUUAUGGGUAAUUUCAAUUUUUUGAAAGGAUUCAGCUGCAUUAUUCGGAGUUUCAUCUAUGGAGAUAAGAGUAGCUUUUCAUGUUAUGAUACAGUCAAUGCUCAUCAGGAACAAAUAUAUUAAUUCCUUUACAAUGUUUUCUGUGAUCUAGCUUAAGUUCGGAGGUAGUGAAUUGCGACUACUUGUGCGCAAAGAGCUGGCGAAGAGUGAUGUCGGAACUGUUGGUACAACCCAAACCAUAUUAAAAAUUCAUCAACCAAGAACUCUAACAUAAUUUAACAGAAUCCAGUUUCUCCCAAAUUAAGCUACGGAUCGAAUCAAAUGAAUCCCUAAAAACUGAGCAAGUACCCACGACCUAUUCCAAAUUCUAUCAAACGAAACCAUCAUUGCUCACGAAAAUCACAAAAUUAACGAGAUAAGAUGAGUAUAAGAGAAUCGAUCUUGCCCAAAACCUAAUCCGACAACCCCAUCCUUCUCAUCAGAUCAUCAACAACACGCAAGAAGCAGACAAUAGGGAGCAGACACAGGGAUCACGAUCCUGAUCUCGGCAAACUCCGAUCAUGGGAAGCCCUAACCCUAGAGGAGUGGAGUGGAGUGGAAGGGAGGGGAGAGAGAGGGGGAGAAUGAGAACCUUGACGAUCUCGUCGCUGGGGGCGGCGAUCUCGGGGUCGAGGGCGCGGAUGGUGCCCUCCUCCUUGCGCUCGAGGGUUAGCAGGGCCUCGGCGAGCUCGGCCUCAACACAGCAGCAGCCCACCUCGUCCUGUUAGGGCUUCUUCAUCUUAGGGUCCGAAGGUUCCUGCUAGCGCUUCGUCGCCGCGCUCUAUCCCCACCUCGUCCCGCUAAGGCUUCGUCGACCGUGGCGAUAGUCGCGACACGAUGCUUCACCGGCCGCUGAGGAGGUCGCGGCGUGCGGAGGUUGCGGCUAGGGAGGAGCAGCCGGCGUGCAGAGGUCGCGAAGGUCGCUGCAGCGUGCGGAGGUCACGAAGGGGGCGAAAGGGUUUGGGCGAAAGGGUUUGGGAAAAGUGUUUUGUUCACUUGAGCAGGGAACUAAUAAGGAUUUUUCUGACAAAAUUAAAAAAAAUUAAAAAAAAUGAACCUUUUGUGACGAAUAUAUAAAUUUUCUCGCUAAAUAUUUCGGGCUCUUUGGCGCCAAGUGAAAAAAAUGGCGCGGUAAUCAAUAGCGGGGAAAAAUAUUUGCAACAAAAAUUUUUAUUAUUUUUUCUGGCGAAAUUAUAACUAUUGUCACAAAAAAUUAAUAUUUUUGUGGCCAUAUAUCACAAAUCGCCACAAAUAAAUACUGAUAAUAUUUAUAUUUUUUAAAAAAUAUGACAAAGGCUCUAUUGUGACGAAAAAUAAUCGCCACAAUAAAUAAUAUAUACAUUUUAUGACAAUUUAUUAUAUUUCUACAUAGAUGGCUAACGCAUUUACUGCGAUUUUCGAGACAUCGCCGCUAUUUCAAUUUUAAAUAUUCGCAAACAAAAUUUGCGGGGAAAAAAUAAAAAUCCCCACAAAAAAUUUACCAUUAAUGAAGAUUUUUAGUUGGUCACAAAAAAGUCUCCACAAAAUAUUGUAUUUCUUGUAGUGGCUGCUGCCAAGCUACGAUCCCCGUGGGGCUCAAGAGCUUCGUCGACGUGCAAUUCCACAGCGUCACGGACGCGAUAAAAGGGUGGUGGAAACUGAAAGUUAACAACACGCUGCAGCCGUUGACGCCCUCCUCAUCCGGUCACCAAAGAAAAGGAGCUCCAAGUAUAGUUUUUGAUCCGCCUGAUUUCGAAAACACGACGCCGCUGUGCAGCAAGGUGUUCAUCGCGGAGUAUGAAAAAUUCACGUUCUCAAAGAGCGAUAUGCUGUUCGGCGCUGCCUGGGACGACACGUCCCUGUCGAUGGUGCUGGAUUGGGCGAUCGGGAACGAGUCGUGUGCGGAGGCGACGCGGAGGAACGCGUCUGACGACUAUGCUUGCAUCGACGAGAACAGCAUCUGCUACGACCCGCCGGGUAGGGCGGGCUAUCUCUGCAACUGCAGUGACGGCUAUCAGGGCAACCCUUACGUCGCCGGUGGAUGCCAGUGUGAGUUUAGUAACAGUAAAAUGUUAUAUGCCUUAUUAAGGUAUAUAUAUAGGAAUAUACGAAUUAAUACAAUCAGAGUAUAUAUCUUUAUAUUCCUAAGUUGUUUUUAAUAAUGAAACUUCCGAAACCAUAAAAUGUUUACAAAUUCUAUAAAAUAAAUUUUUUAUGCAAUACUUUUAUUUUCACCAAUUUCUUAGACAAUAAAAAGAGAAAAAUGUAAUGAACAAUCUAUUUAACAAUGAAUAAUGUAUAAAAUAUUAAAAUAUAUUGAUAGAUUCAUACAUUUUUUUAAUAUUUUUUUAUAAUUUUUCGGUUGAUACCUAUACGCUAGCGAAUAAUUUGGCCAAUUAUUCGAACAACCAAAGAGUCUUAAACUAUUAAUAAAUUUUGUAAAAAAUUGGAGAAGUUUGUCACCACCUAUAUAUUUUCAAGUUUUCUAUCGACAAUAAGUUACAUAAGAGAGCACUUACAACCAUAUUCAGCCUUUCGGAGUCGUGGAACACCUCUAGUUAAGUCAAGGUAUCUAUCUUCUCAGACAUUGAUGAAUGCGCGGAUCGAGACAAAAACAACUGCACGUGGAAAUGCACGAACAAGCCCGGGGAAUACCGCUGCAUUUGUCCACCGGGAUACAGGGGAGACGGAACCAAGAACGGAAGUGGUUGCACCAAGGACGCCGCAACUACAGAGAUUGGCCUAGGUACUCUGCUUUAAUCCCCCGCUAACAUUAGGGUUUAUAUGUUUCCCUGGUUCAAGUUAGAAAUGAUCACAAUCUAUGCGUGUUAGCAACAAUUAAUAGCACAAAUAGGUUUGCUUUUAUUGCCUGCCUUGUUUAGCUUUUGAUUUUUCACGUCGAAGUCGUAGACAACUUUGGUACAGAGUUUGACUUAAAUAAAGGACUAGGACUGUAGAUGCAACUGGAAAAUGCAUGGGCCAACACUGUAGAGAGAAUUCAAAGAUAUAGGAAAGAGAUCAUUAUUAUUGUUUUUAGAGACACAGAAAAGUAGUAUGCUUUUCGCUUCAAUUAUUAUUUUUUUAAAUAAAUUUACUAGAAAAUAUAAAAUAACAGCUCUCAAACUCUUUUUCACCGGCGGCGCUAGGGACGGCAGGUAUAUCAGGGAGAUUUUAAUAAAGUAACUGUUUUAUUCGGCCUUAACAACUUUGGUCGAACAAUAUUUUCUUAAAAGCUUCGAUUAGAUCAAGGAUUCAGGGCCAUAGAGCCUCUGAUUCACUAGAAAAAUGAAAUGAUCUCCAACACUUAGAUAUAUCAAACCACUCGUUCAAGUGAACAAGAGAAAAGAAGAGCCCGUUGGAAUUUUGACAUUAAUUAAUGAAACUUGUAACUUUUGUAUUGUACACAGCGGUUGGGCUGUCGGCUAUGGCUCUGAUCUUCAUUGGAAGCUUGUGGAUAUACUGGCUGCUGAAGAAGCUGAGGCUCGGAAGGCUCAAAAGGAAGCACUUCAUGCAAAAUGGAGGCCUACUAUUGCAACAGCGAAUCACAUCUGCUCGCAGGGCCACCGCGAGGAUCUUCACCAUUGAAGAGCUCGAGAGAGCCACCAAUGGCUUCAACAAGGACAGAGUGAUCGGCCACGGCGGCUACGGCACGGUAUACAAAGGAAUUCUUCCUAACGACCAGAUCAUCGCCAUUAAGAGAUCAAAGCUGGUGGACGAAUCCCAGAUCGAAUCGUUCAUAAACGAGGUGGCCAUUCUCUCUCAGAUCAAUCAUAAAAACGUGGUUAAGCUACUGGGUUGCUGCUUAGAAUCUCAAAUCCCUCUCUUGGUUUACGAGUUCAUCUCCAACGGCACGCUUUUUCACCAUAUUCAUGAGAAAUCCAAUACAGUGAUUCUGUGGGAGACCCGCCUACGAAUCGCAACAGAGACGGCAGCAGCUCUUGCUUAUCUCCAUUCGAGGGCUUCUAUACCCAUCAUUCAUAGGGACGUUAAGUCAGCUAAUAUAUUGUUAGACGAGAGCUACACUGCAAAGGUGGCGGAUUUUGGGGCGUCGAGGCUGGUGCCUUACGACCGCACGCACGUAACGACGCUAGUGCAGGGGACGCUGGGUUAUUUGGACCCCGAAUACUUCUACACGAGCCAAUUGACGGAAAGAAGCGACGUUUACAGUUUCGGAGUUGUGCUAGUGGAGCUGCUAACGGCGGAGAAGCCGGUAUCGUUUUGUCGGUCGGAGACGGAGAGGAAUUUGGCCUCGCAUUUUGUAAUGCUGCUGGAAGGGAAGAGGCUGUGGGAGGUGAUGGACGGUCGGAUGGUGGCGGAGGCGGGGGAAAUGCAAAUGCUAUCGGUGGCUGAUCUCGCGAGGAGAUGCUUGAGCGUGAAGGGGGAGGAGAGGCCGACGAUGGAAGAGGCGGCAGUGGAGCUCCAUGCGCUCCACAGGCUCAUGAAGCAGCACCUAGCUUUGAGAAGCAGCUUGAAGGAAGGGGCGAGGCCUCUUGCUAAGCCUUUAACUAUCAAUGACAAUGAUACUAUUGGCGAGGUUAGCGCGGAGAUCCACCUUCUAUCGUGCACGGAUAGUCUGUGAGGGAGGAUGAUCGCGCACGGUGAAUACGAUCAAAGAUACUUGAUGACAAAUAAACAUGUAAUUUUUUGGAUUAUUAAUCACCAUCUUUAAUUCUAUCUGUACUUGAGGUGAUUGGUUUUAAAUGCGCUUUAGUUUGUAAGAAGCAUACGCUUUCCUCGGUCAUUUUGUUGUUGAGGCUUCACCGUACGAGUUAGGAUUUGCCUAUAGAUGUACUGAAUUGAAGGCACACCAGCACAAUCCUAACCUGAUUUGAAUAACUAUUCAUCUAAUACCAGAGUUUCUUAUAAGGGCUCGGCCGCUUAGAUUGGAUUCCCAUUAAAUUAACCUGCAACUUCUAUUUCUGCAACUGCGUCCUACGAAAGAUUCGACUUAACUCUAAGCCCUCGAGCCUUCCUAGUACACUUAGACUAGACCCGAGCAAAGAGCGGGCUAUGCAGGGUCCAAGUAUUUUGGGGCCGUGCCCGGAAUUUGUUCGACCUAUUCUGAGCCUGAAACCAAACCAAAAUGAUCGGGUUGGCGGAACCAUACGGAACUGGAUCGCAUAGAAUGCAAAAAUUCUAGUCCGGAACGGAUCAACUAAUCAAAGAGAAAGGCGCUGAAAACUCAGACCCAGACUGAGCCUAACGCAAGCGGCAGAAACGGAUGGACGGGUCGGGCCAGGUUUUUUCUAAGACAUAUAAUCUCAAUCCUAAUCUUCCACAACCUUAAUCCUAAUCUACUUAAGAUUCCGAGGCUAGCUCUCCCAAAGGCCAAAGGGUGAGGGUCGAUGAUGAUGAUCGUCAUAAAUUGACGGUUGAGAUCAAGCCAACAUACCAUCCUCCCCUAGGGUUUUCCUCUUUUUAAGCUCUUUUCUCCUUGGCUUUGCCACCUCUUUCCUGGUCCCCGUCCAUCGAAACCUCGCCAUGUAUGGCAGCGCCGGCGAACCCUAAAGAGGAGGGGGAGGAGGAGAACUCCUCCUCAUCAUCAUCAUCAUCAUCAUCUCGUCCCUUCGCCUCCGCCGUUGCAGCGAUCGCCGUCGCCCAAAUCUGCGGCGGCGCCGGGUUCACCGCCGCGGAGCCCUGCGCCCUCCGCGCCCUCUCCGACGUCGCGGCGCUCUACAUCGAAGCCCUCGCCCGCUCCGCCGCCGGCCACGCCAACGACCGCGGCCGCACCGACUCCAACCUGCUCGACCUCGUCCGCGCCCUGGAGGAGCUCGAGGCGGCGGCAUGCGGCGGCUUCCUCGGGGGGUCAGACCCCGCGCGGCUGCUGCUGCGGUCGAGCAAGCUGAUGGAGCUCAUGGCCUUCGUGCGGGACGCGGACGAGGUCCCAUUCGCCAAGCCCAUACGGCGCCGCGCCGGGAAAGGAGGAGAGAGACGACGGGCUCCGCCGAGCUUCGUGGAGGCGGGGAAAGAGCCGCCGAUGCCGCACGUGCCGCGGUGGCUCCCGUGCUUCCCGGAGUCGUGGGAGGGUUGGGGAAGAAGAGGGGAAAAGGAAAUGGCGGCGAAGGAGGAAGAGGAGGAGGAGAUGGCGGUGGGGACGGGAAUGGAUGGGGUGGUGAAGAGGGAAGAAUCGGGGGUUGCCGGGGUUUUACCGGAGGAGAGGGCGAGGGUCAGGUUUCGGAUCGGGGCUGGUUCUGAUCGGCGAAGGCGAGGAAGGUGAAAAUGGUGGAGAAUAAUGGGGUGAAUUAUUAUUAUUCGGGAAAAUGGAUAUUUAAUGAUUUUUAAUAAUUAAAAUUUAAAUACAGCUGAUUUUUGUUGGGACGGGGAUUCGAUCCCAUGAUGUGCGAGCCAAACGGUAUCGUGUGCUGGACCUGAGCACCAUCUCACCAGCGUAGCGGGAAGACUCGUGGUCUUCAAUAUUUUUAAUUAUUGUAAUUAGUUGAAUGCUUCGUUUACAAGCUCCGCUUCCAUUCCCCCAACUGUUAAUAACUAAGAAGAAGAAAUGCUGGUCUCGCUGGGUAUAGUUGUUUUUGUUUUUCCGAAAUAAAUUUCAUGUGUUGUAGAUAGCAUGAUUUGUUGAAGCGCGGACGUCUAAUUACGGAGAAUCUGUAUAAUGAAAAUUAAUAAUUAGCAGAAACUAUUAGGCUAUUUUUUUUUUUCCCUGAAUAUGCUGUUACAUGAUCAAGAUGUACUCCAAGCUAAUCAACCCUACAAACCACAGUGGAAAACAGUGCGUUUGUGAGAUCCGAAUUCUGCCACUAUCAAAUAUUUCCAAUGUUAUUCCAUCAAAACAUAGCAAUAGAAGGGAACUCUACCUUACUAAGAUCUGACAAAACGAAGCAAACCAAAUGGCUGCUAAAGAUAAUUUACUCACUUUUAUAAAAAGCCCGUACGGAUGAUGAGCUUGUCACUAGUGCUACACCAACAUCCAAAUUCUACAAGUCUAUGCUUCUACAAUCCGCACACACGGCUGCAUUUCAUUAGCAGCUAGUAUUUCAUGUGUUCAAGGCCAUUGCACUCAAUUCAUUUUAAAAGUGACCAUGGAGAAAAAGAGAAGCAUGCCACCAACCCCAACAGUAUGUUUAUAAGCAGGUAAGAUGCCAAAAUUAUGGGCACUGCCUCAUAAGACAUAGACUACAUAUUCAAAAGUCACUCUGCUGGACACCUGAAUCAACGCCAAUAUGAUGCUUCCGUAUUCACGAAGAGUUGCUAAAUUUUUAGGCCAGUUAUAUUUCCAUUAAUGCAGAACAACACAGAAAGAGCGCAAGGAACAGAGGGCCGGAUUAUAUUUGCUUUACCUCGUAUUCAUGACAAAUUCUCAAAGGAGUGUCCUUAGAAACCGGCCUCUCUUCAGACCACAACUCCAAGUUAACGGUUCCAGUUCCCCAGUGCAACAAACACUUGCUAACCUGACUCAGCUCAAAGCGGUUGAUCAAACACACACCUGUGCAUUUGUCAACCAGCAUCCAUUCCCCUGUAAGAGUAGCAAAAAAGCCAAAUAAAUGAUGAGAUGAAAAAUUAAAAUAAAAUAAAAUAAAAUAUUACGCAUUCAUGUACGUAGAAGACAUAAAAAUAAACCGAAGUACCAAAUGCUGUUAUUGAAGAUAAGUAAAAUUGUACGACUUUUUAUCUGAACUACAGUGUGUAUUCAUACUAGGAGCCUGAAACUUUGAAAUUUUUUAUUUUACCUAACAUUACAAUAUAUUUGAUUCAACUAUUCCACUGUCAGAACUAAACAACAUUAUUAAUAUCUUUAACUAUAUAUUCUAUAACUUGACUAGAUAUCCGCAACUUUUGGACAUUUUUGCAACUUUCCUGACGGAAUUUGUGAGUUCUAACUAAAUUUGAUGGAACUUUCUAUAAUCGAAAGAAAGAAAAGGAAAUGAGGUGAAAUAAUUUUUUUUAAAAAAAAAAAAAUCAACUGCCACUUUCCUAGUAUCCUAUAUUUUAGCAAAGGUCUGCAUGUUUUUGUCUUAAGAUGUAAUAGCGUCAAUCAACCAAUCAAUUGCACGCAAAAUGUAUAUUUUACCAUUAGGACGGAGAUCUCCCUCAAAUAAUUGCUCUCCAGGUUCGGGGGAGAUCUCAUGCAUCAAACCAUCAAUAGAGGUGAAAGUGACCAAAACUUCAGAGGGGUGUAGAAGGGUGAAAGUUGGGUGCACUCGCAAGCAUACCAACCUAUUACACACCAAGGAAAAAAAUAAUAAUCAUCAUUUUAUUAGUUUUUUGUACGCUAGAAAUAAGAACAUUAAGUCUAAAGAUAAACAUUUAGGCCGUGUUUGGAUGUUUGAAUAGAUAUCCAAUAAUAACUUAUUCGGUAUGAAGAUUUUCUUCUAUAAUUGGAAGAUAGGAGUUAGAUUUUUGCUCCUUGAAGAGUUUUGGCAUCCAUGAUUUAGUAGGAUAAUAUAGGAUAAUAUAUUACACCUGAUUUGUCUUAUUUGAAAAAAAAAUGACUUGAAUGCAAUUUAUGGCAUCCAUUUUAAACAUUUGAUCAUACCAAUCUACCAAAUACUAUAAGCUUUUUGAGUAAAUUGAAAGAAUAGACUGAAUAAGAUGUUCAUUUAUAAAAAAGGUACGAAUGGUGAUAUUAACCUUGAGAAACCACCAGAACCAGCUCCAACAUUCUGCGCAACAAUGCUAGAGUCAAUUUGGAGGAUCUUUCGGUCAUCCUUUGGAAUAGAUAUCUGGCGGCGAAUAAUCAAUCCACCACCAACAUCCCCCUCCAAGCAAAGCGAUUCUUCCUCUCCUGAUUGUUCAAGGUCCCUCCUACAAAUUCAAUCAUCAAGGGAUGAUUAAAAAUGCAUUGAUUAAUUUAUAAUAGAAAAGGCAGGUAACAGUUUGUCCAGGUUAUACAACUAGUGCUGACAAUUAACAUGCAAAGACAGAUAAAAAUACAGGAGCACAAGUUCCUAUCAAAUUAGCUACUUCAUCAGUAACAUAACAGAAAGGCCAAAAGAUCCUUACCCAACAACCUUAUACUCCUCAGAGCAACCAGAAGAUCGGUAUUCUGUUCCACUGUACUCUUCAUAUCCAUCUCUUUCAACUCUGCUAUGAAGCCACUGGGUACCUAAACCAAAUAUUAAAAGAGAAAAGAUUUAUAUUUCAACUACUCUAGAAAGAUAAAAACCUAUAGAUGUAGCAGUAUACAUAAAUCUCUCAUGCGAACUUGGUAGCUCCCCUUCUGAAGACCUGCAGCAAAUACAUCUCACAUGAAAUUUUAUUUGGGAUCCUAAAAUGAUCAUGCCUUGGCAAGAAGCCAAGAGAAGAUUUGGUAUUGUUUCACAUAUUGUCACAUAAAAAUGAGAUACCUAAAAAGUUGCUGCCAAGGCACAUUCACUGACACUCCAUAGUCUAGUCCAUGUCUACAAAAAUGGGACAAAAAGAACUAUCAAAGCAGGCUGACAGUUAGGCCUGAUUAAAUGUUUUACCCACACAGCUAACUGACUCUGAUGAUUUCAAACAAAUUCACCUUCUUUUUUUUCCCGGGGGUUGGGGGGGGGUGGUUUGGAGGAGAGGAUGGGGGGGUUUUUAGCCCUAAUGAUAUUGUGACAGCAUAAGCUUGUUGUUUAACUACACAGUUUAGCCUACUGUCUGACCUCUUCGUAAUAUUUAGGCUUUAGUGAAUGUCUUUGCAAACUCUUACUUAACUAGUUAACAAAAAGCCCAUAUCGGUGCUUUACUAGCUUACACUGGCAAAAGGCAUCAAAAGUUUCCAGGGGACAAAAAACAAAUCUAGACCGUCAAGCAAAUGAAUAAUAAAGAUUUUAUGAAGGAUGAGUGAUAUGACUUUUACCUGUAGGGAUAUGCAUCAUUGAGAUAAUCCGCCCCCCAAUCCACGGUACUAUUUUGAGAACCCAGUCACCACUUUUCAGAUCGAUAGGGAUUUUUGACAGCUCAAUGCCCUUUACUCCAGAAACUUCAUCUACAUCUGGGAUAGGCUUAGCUGCUUCUGUACAUCAUUGUAAUAGCCUUCUCAUAUGAGUAGAAAGACAUAUAAACCACAAGAAAAGAAGAGAAAAAGAACUAUAGCCAAUACAAUUAUUCUCAUUUUCCGCAUUUCUGUCUUCUUUACUUCUGGCGGCAUACUAGUAUAGAACAUGCACACUAAUAAAAAUGGCAAGGAAAUCUUGAGCAAACAAGAUAUGAUUUACUGCCUUGUUAGCACAGCUAAUUGACAAAUGAUAUAAAAUCCGUCCGACCAUUUCGGAUGAUACUUUUCCCAUUUUAUAUGCUACCUAACCUGAUAUCGUAGAUGCAACGAUUUAAGUGCCAUGGAAUGGGAUUGUGCCCAAAAUUCCCUAACACGGUAUACCAUGCUACGUGCCGUAUCAUGCUGAUGCAUGUCUGUCACAAAAAAAUACCUAUGUGUAUUGACACACAAUAGCAUAAAAUAUUUAUUUUCUUUGGCAUCAAUAUAUUUUAACUACUUAUUAUAUAUUUUAAUCAAAACUUUUGCACUUUAUUACGAUAAAUACUAGCUAAUUUCAAAGAAAAAAAAUUUGAGCCAUGGCAUGGGCACGGGGAUCAUAUCAUGCCAAUAUAUUGUCCGCACAAUCCGUGUCGAUGGGCACUUGAACCCUUGCUUAGAUGUGUGCACAUUUGUAAAUACAGUAUCAAAUUGAGAAGAGCGUAAAAGCACCUAAACGUGCUCUGUACUGAUUUUCACUUUCUGCUACUAAGUUGGACACUUCAGAUUCCGAAGGCACUAUGAUAUGUAUUUCAUCUCCAUCAGUGCCUUGAGAAUUGAUCUGCAAAAAGAAAGUUCAAUACGAAAUAUACAGUAUGCUAUCAAAAUAAGUGCUAUUGAAAGGGAAAGAAAAGAACUAAGCAUGGACUGAAAAAAUACACACCAUGGCACCUCCACCCAGAAGUAAAUGCACAUGAAGCACACGUUUUGGCCUCUUCCGUAGUCCUUCAGUCUUAGAGACUUUAACUGUCACGACUGAAGAAUCUAGUUCAGCAGCAUAGUAAGUCAAGAGAAAAUCUCCUUUAGUGUACUCAUAUCCGUCGCCGUCAUCCUCAAACAAUACACCAGCAGCUUUACCUGGGAAAAGAAGCAGAUGCUAAUAUAGUUCAUGGCAGAAAUAUGGUUUGUAGCCGCACACACAAAAAAAAAACACCAAGAUAUUUUGCACUAAAAUUGAGAAAGAUUUCAACACUAUGAGUGAGUGCAAAAUUAUUUGGUACUUGUUGACGACAUCUGUCUCUCUGUUUCAUAUAGAACUACAAUAUAUAUAUCCUUCAAAACUAUACCCAAAGAAGACCAAGUAGCUGGGAAUUAACCAAGGGGGUUAAAACAAAUUUUACCAACAAAUAUGCAUCCUUUAAGACUAAACCAUCAAUGCACAUCGGCACAAAAUGAUGUUGAAAAGAAACAUGCUAUUACUUAUUUAUUCCAAAGACAACUAUACAGCAGUGGAGUCAUUUAUACAGCAAACUAAAGAAGACAGUCACUUUAGACCACUGUCAUAUGCUUAUUGCACUUUAAGCAUAGCCGCCAAACAUCUAAUGCAUGACUUUAGACCACUGUUCAUGCUUAUUACACUUUAAGCAUAGCCACCACAGGUUUAAUGUAUGAUGGGGCAUUAAUGUCAAGAAAUAAUACUGAGUAGCAUCGAAUCCACAUUAUUGUUGCACAUGGUUUAUGGUAUCAUCUAAAUGUGUGCAUGUAUAUUUAAGAAACACUCCUGAACCACUUUCAGUGAAAAAUUACAGGGAAUGCAUUUAUGCUGACGUCGAUGGGCUAACAGAUGUAUAUAUGCAGAUAUUUUCUUUGUCAAGGCUACCAAGUAAAGAAAAGCCUUUAUAGUUCAAACCAAACAAUAGAAAUACAAAAAAUAACAGAAGUUACCAUCUUUAUCUAAAGCAACAAAAAGUGACAAGUCGUCCUCUGCUUUUGCUUCACCAACGUGUUGAAUUGGAGGCCCUAUGGGAAGUAUUGACCCACCUUGUAGAAACAAAGUUGGCAAGUCCUGAGAAAUAUUUUAAGAAAUAUUAAAACAAAGAAAUCAACAGUAAAGGAGUAAGACCUUGUAGUAUAUGUGAAUUAACUUACAGGAUGUGAAUCACCAAAAUCAAAAGGUAACCAGAUUCCUUUUGGCAAGAUGUGCGACAAUUCAUGUGCACUUUGAUCAGGACCAGUGCUGUCAAUUACACUCAACAAUGUCAAUAAGAAGAGCAAAUGAUGGUGAAAACAUAUUAUUGUGCAUUCCUCAACUACCAUUUUUUCUGUUUAUAUUUGCCCAUAAAAGGAUCAAAAUACAUAAAUUCUCAAAUAUGUUAAUCUGCCCAAGAAUCAACAGAUAGUUGAUAUCCCAAACAUUCAUGAAACAAAGAUGAUCAUUUUUUGACCCAAAAAAGAGUAAGGUAUACCUAGAACAUAUCAGAAGUGGCCCCAGUAAAAAUGAAUUCUCAACUGUCCUCAACCUUGAAUCUUGUGGAUCUGCACAAACCAGCAAGGCGUCAAUACAUAAUUCGUCAUGCUCUCCUAACAUUGGAUCAAACUUGUAGAAGUUUACCAGCAAAAAAAGUUGGAGCAGCAACAGGAGUUCCAUUCAUAUGAGACAUAUAAAAAAGUGUAUAUAUGUGAGGAAGCAAGCGAUAACGCCUCAACAAUGCCAGACGGCAUACUUCUUCACACUGCGGAAUAAACCUAGGAUUAGAGUUGACCAAAAGAAAACAUUUUAGAAGAUAAAUGCUUACCCCCUUCUUUUAUCACACUCACUAGGUAAUUCUGGAUAUGUAUGUCAUCUAUUUCUCAAAAGAUUCAUUUUCCUAAAUUUAGAGAUAAUAUGAAACCUAAUCAAAAUAAUUUUAAGAAGUUUCAAAUGCAAGCUAAACAUAUUUUGCACAGGCUUGCCAUUUUUUGGCCUAAUGAAAAAUUCAAGUUUUUUAACUUGAUCAUAAGAAUGUUUAACAUACCAAUGAAUGCAUCACUUGUAACAUAAAUUGUGGUGACUAGAGUACUACCAAUCGAAAUUCAUUUGAAAUGGACUAGAUCUCCAUCAUGUAGCAUUGGCAGGAAAUGAAAGACAGAUUUAUUUUCAAAUGUUUAAACAAAUACAUGCGUCAUGCAGGUCUUGAUCUGGUAAAGAAUACAAAGUACCUAAAAACAUGAUUUGACCUAAAAUAAUUAUUCAAAGGCAUGUUCAAUGGUGAAGGUUUCUACUCUCAAAUGAAAUGGCAUCUAUAAUUGAAAUAAUAGUUCAUUAUUAGCAUGAUUUUACUAUUAGAUGCAUCUCAGAAAAAGAGGAAUGAUAAUAUCAGCUUGUAAGUAUCAGCAUAUUCAUAGUAUGCACUGAAGAACAAAAGUUACCUGACUUUUUGUGCUUAUCUUUGGAUAACAGAUUGAUCUUGAAAUUACUAGAUUAAAAAGCAGGCAUUCUCUAGGAUUUGAAAUUCUGUCCAAAGAUGUACUCACAGUUCUGGAGUCAAAAGUUUUCAAAAAUGUUGCAGGAUAGAAUUGAAAGUGGAAAAUCAUUGGGCUAUUUAUGCUUUGUUGCUACAGUUAUUUCACGCUUAGCGCACUAUCAAGUGACUGAAAUAAGCAUUUGAGGUACUUGAAGGAUAAGUAUUGAGGAUAUACUUCUUCCCCAAAUGACCAGGGCUCAUGGUCAACUGUUCCCUGUUCAGUGUGCCCACGUGAGAAAGGAAACAAAGCCCCGACUCCCAUCCAUCUACCAAAAAGUUUCGCUGUUGCAUUUCCAGCAAAUCCGCCAAUAUCUGGCCCAGAUAAUGGCUGGCCACUAAGCCCCUGUCAGAAAACUAAAUAGUCAUUGAACUAAAUAUAUAGAAGCCCAAUAUAAAAUGCAUUCUCCAUAUGGUUACAUUGCUAAUAUUUUUAUGGACUAGACCUUUCCCUCAAUCCCCUAGAAAUUUGUGCUUGUGUCUGGCCUCAUCAUGCUUGGGAAGGUUUUGAUGCAAUCUAGACUCAAAAUCCGAAUCCAUAUUCAUACCCAACUUCUAACAGGUUUGGGACUGGGCUCAGAUGAAACAUAAAACAAACACAAUCCAAACCCAUUUUUUUAGAUCAAAGCCCAUUAGCAGAGCAUCUAAAUAGCAACCACAGGGCACCUAAGUGAAUCCGAAUUUCUAUUCUCUGGGUCACAUGCACAUAGCACCUCCAAGCACCUAAUACUGUAGAGCUCUUCUACACCUUAGUAGGCAGUGUCCCUAAGGCUGGCUAAUGUUUUUAAGUAAACAUCUGCAAAUUGGAUGUCAUAUAGACUAGAAUAUGCUUUGUUCCCAAAAGAGACUAGUAAGCAACUAAGCAUACACAAAAAAACUUACCAAUUGAAGAACCAUAGAUAUACUCAUAUGGAGGUGCUCCCAAUUCGACAAAUUAUCUCCAGUCCAGGUUGCAGCAUAACGCUGACUUCCUAUAAACCCAGCUCUUGUAAGAACAAAAGGUCUUUUAGUCCGACAACCCAUUUUCAUUCCCUCAUAAGUUGAUCGUGCCAUCAGCAUGCCAUAAACCUGCAUGUAGCUAAAAGUUGAGAAUUAUUCCAAACUUCAGUAUGUAAAAAGUAAUAAAAGAAUUUCAGAAUAAGCAAAAUUGCCACAAUACCUGAAAUAGCUCUUUAUUCAUUUGAAACUUAACCAAAUUCUAAUUUAGUUUGACGAGAUUACAUGUAUGCUAUAUAUAGAUAAUUACAUUAUGAUAAUGAGAAUGAUUUUGGCAACCGCCAAGUUCAUCAUCUCCUCUGUGGAUGUUGCUCUCUGGCAUUGUUUUCGUUAUGGUCUGCAAAUCAACAAAAAUGAAUGUAAAAAAAAGUUCAACAUCAACGCAUGGAAUUCAAGGUGAAGUCCCAGAAGGCUUACUCUAAAAACUGCAGGCUCAUUCAUAUCGUUCCAUAUCCCAUCAACACCGUUGGACAUGAAGUCUUUUACUAAGUCAGCCCACCAUGAACGUGUCUUUUGUUGUGUAAAAUCAGGGAAAACACAAGGCCCCGGCCAAACGUCCCCUAAAAAACCAGUCAAAGAUUGAAACUGACCUCAAUUUUAAUCCUUCUUAUACUUUGAACUAACAAACUUUACCGACAAAAGGUUUGCCAUCUGCCUUCUGAAUCCAGACAUCAUUUUUAGAUCCACUAUCAAAGACAAAGUAGCCCUCCUCAUAUUUGAUGCCUGGGUCAAGCAUCCAAAUUGCUUGGCAGCCAAUUUUGUGGAGAUCAUUCACCAUAGACUUUGGACUGGGGAAGCGUUCCUACAAUAAUACGGAGGAUUAUGCAUAUUUUGUACAUUUAAGAAGUAAACCCAAUAUGCAGACCAUGAAAUAUUCAAGUCAAGUACCUGAAAUUACUAGGAAAGAUAUACAUUAAAUAAUGAUAUCUAAAACUUCUAACUUACAGAAGCUAUUAUACAAACAUACUUUUAGUCAAGAAGAAGUAUGAAUAUCGUUCCAAUCAUCAGCGAAAUGUAAUUAGUGAACAAAGAAAAACAAAUAACGAUACCUUGCCACAUUAUUGGGAGUGGGCAAACUAAGAGAUGGUAACAUGUAUUUGUCAUACGCAAAAUUGUCUAUGCUUAAGCAUUUCAUAUACAUGGUUGAAAGGAUGUAACCCGUUUCAAAUUUUAUCUGCAUCUGCUGGUCGCUUCAGCUAUUAUGCAAUUCUUUAGCAUGAUAAAUUUGUCACAUAAUAAACUUUACUCACAACAUGGGAAACAAAAUAGAAUAAUAAGAAUCAUACAUGGUCAAAUGUGAAACAUCGGAAACCAUCCAUGUAGUCAAUAUCCAUCCAUAUGACAUCACAAGGUAUGCCUUUCUCACGAAAUGUUCUAGCCACCUGUGCCAGGAAAAGAACGAAAUGUAACCACAAUGAGUAGGUUCUCUAGUUCAAUAUCAGAGUAAGACUAUGCUAUUCGAAUGUCCAAGGACCACCAUAUCCAAAUACAUGGCAAUCAUAAAUCUCUACUGUGAGAUGAAUGCAGGCACUCUUUUUCCUUUCUAGAGUAAAUUUCAGAAGGUUGGGAAACUAAAACUUAAAAGGUCCGCCUCAAGAGGAAAUCACUGAACUUCCAUAAUGAACAGUGCAGUACCUUAAGAACUUUGUCAGCAGAAUCAUAGCUCCAACGGCAUUGAUGAUAGCCAAGAGACCACUUUGGAGGCAUAAAAAUGGUUCCUAAUUUGAGGGCAAUUAUAGUAUUUCAAUCAAUUUGUACAGGAAAAGGUUUAAGUAGCAUCACUAAUUUACUUGUGUUGCAGCUUACUUAGUCCUAUAUCAAGUCGAGCAAAAAAGACAUAAGAAAAUGAAAGGUCAACGACAAUAAGGCAGCAAAAAGAAUAAUAGCUGUGAAUCAUACAUUUAAGAUCUGCAUAUCUUCAGAAUAAAUGAAGAAUUGAACAAACAUGUAAAAAUUUAUCUCUGUAUACUGUUACUUUGUGUUGUAAGGACUAAAUGUUAGAACUUCUGAAACAACAACACAACAAGUGAUUUUUGAAUGAGUCUGUUGAACGUCCCCAUAAACUAGGUAUUGGAGACCAUGUUAAGGGCAAUUCUAAGUUUUGAAUGAUUCUUGAGUGUUGUUCGGACAUCUUUUCCCUUUGCUUUACUGUGGGCUGGUGUUCUAGUUUGGACAAUUUUGAAAAUCUUAGAGUGAGAAUUCUACCAUCCUUUUUUCGUAUUACAGCUUGUUCUUGUUCAAUUUUUAAUUUGUUACAGGAAAGAAUUUUCAUUCAUUUUUUCCAGUUUCUAAAUUAUAUUUUGCUUAAUCAAAUUCAUUUUUCUAACUAUUGUGGAUUUAUUAGUUUGACUUCACAAAUAUACAAGACUAAAACAAGAAUAAGCAAGCUAUUAAGUCACCAAUCUGGUUUAGUAAGGAGCAUAGUUGAUUCAAAACAAAUACGCAGCAUGUGUAAGAAGAAAAAUAAAAGCAAACCACACCAAAGUUUCCAUGCAAAGGUACACCGUCAAUAUAGUGAACAAGGAAAGUAAAAAGCAGAACGAAUGAACGAACUUCCUAUACAUGAUAAUACGAAAGAAAGCAAUUUGUAAGACAACACAGUGACAAUUGAAGUUGGGGUUCUGAGAAAAACCAAUUGCAUGAGAGAGGGACACGAGGACUUCCGUGGGCGACCCAAAGGGACCAAAUGUAAUGAUAGGGUAUGGGGCCGCAGCAGUCAACCUUAUAGUAGAAUCCUCCCUUAGAUCAAUCUGUUGAAGAAGCAUCAACAACAUCAGAUCCCAAGAAUUAAUUAAGGGUCAUUAAAAUCGCAGAAAAACCCAUGUGAAAAAAGGAAAAGAAAUUGCACUAGACCUCACAACGGCGAGUAGUGUCAGCUAGAACCCCCAAUGCCUUCCCAUCAGGAAGAAGCGCAAGAACCCAAGGAUGAGACUGGUAUAAAGACGUGGUCCCAGGUCCAAAACCCCAGGCGUCCGUGUUCCAUGUGAAAACCUAAGAUCACAAUGAUCAAUCUACAACAUCGGGAAAAUUAAAAAGAACGAGAGGAAAGAAAAAAGAAAACUAUCUUGCAAAAAGACGCACACGCUUCCCUGUCCGCUCGAGCUGCCCACUCACUUCUCCAGUCCCAUAAAAUGACGUCCCUGAAGGAAGCUGUCGAAAUCAAGAUAUUAACAAUACUCCGACUCAAAAGAAACAACAUCUUCAAAUAUUAAAUUUCGCAAUGAACAUCGAAUGCGGGCUCUAAACGAGAACGAACCUUAAUUUCCACCUUCUGUUGUCCAUAAACGCACUCGAAUGUGGGUACGUACUCGGGCGCCUUGUGCACCGGGAUCGGCGUGUCCCUGGCCUUUGGAUCCGCGAACGAGAGGCUCGGAAACGCCGCGUCGCGAUCGUUCCCGGAGCAAUCGAAUCGGAACACCCCCUCUUCAAGAAUCGGCUGGAACACCAUCUUCCCCGCUGUGGGAUCGGCGGUGGCGACGCUCACGCCAUUGCCCAUCCUCGAAGCCAACCUCCUUCGCCUGCAACCGCAGCAAAAUCGCAUCAAGAACCUCCGUAGACCCCGCAUUAGAGGAUUCUAAAGCCGACCUUCGACGAUGGGAGAGAAGAAGAAGAAGAAGAAGAAGAAGAAGAAGAAGAAGAGAUUGGAUAGGAGUGGAGGAUUCGGCGAUCGAGAAGAGAGAGGAAAUAUGGGAGGAGGAGAAGGAGGGGCACCUGGGAAGAGGAGAGAAGAGAUGAUGGGAUAAGAGAGAUUGGGGAAAAACCCUAGCUAGUGGGAGGAGAAGAGGAGCCCUUAUUCGUCGAUGGUGAGAGCGGAGAAGAGGGAAUUGUAAUGGGGUCGAUGGUGAUCGGGUAUUUAUUAAGGCCAUUAUUCAGGAGAGAUAUUAAUAAAAACUUCUUUUAUAAGCGAAGUAUAAUAAUAUGAUAUGACCGUUGCUGUACUGAGUGUGGAGAGUAGAGACAAGAGUCUCGUGAACUCGGGACGGAGAGAGAGAGAGAGAGAGAGAGAGAGAGAGAGAGAGAGAGCGUGGGAGAUCGAGAAAAGUGCGUGGUGGGACCACUAUGCGGAUGGUGACGCAUACGACUUACCACGGGCCAGUUGGACGGUUGCCUUUUGGGUCAGCAGGGCAUGACUCGCGUCCGCACGAGUCCUCAUAUACUUCACCGGAAGAUUCAGUAGAUCCACGGAUUCAAUGAAAAUCCGGCCCAAUUGGUAACGCUUAAUGGGCCUAACAACAUUCAUAUGGGUCGGGCCGCGACUGGCCCCACAGGUCAAGGAUCAAUAUUCAGGCCGUAUCCCGGUUCGGACUAGGGCACUAGGCCAUUCCAAACUACAGGCCGGCCCACCACUUCUUUUUCUCAUUUUUUUUGGAAUUUUUUUAAUUGUUUUGUAAUUUUUAGUUUAUUUUUAAAAUAUCUUCCGAUAUUAGCUGAAAAAUUAGGAAUUUAGUGCCAUUCAGAACCUCCUUUUUUUUUCUUUUUUUUUUUUUAAAGCAUAGUGUUAUUCACCUUGGCAUUAGAGGUUUUUUUUUUUUCCGACAUGUACCGUAUGAUUAAAGAUAAAUAAGUUAUUCAUACCUGGGUUCCAUUUCCCUACAAAUGCUUUUCAAAGGACAAAUGUAUGCUUCGCCCAUAUUUAUCCUUAAAUACGUAAUAUUAAUAUUAAUAGUGCACGGCAUACUUCAUAGUUUCCAAGAUUAGUAACUGCACAGUGUGCACCCUAGGAUUCCUUUCAAGGAGGACAAAACGAAGAACAAGAAAGACAAGCACCGCCAAUGCGCCUCAAUCUCGGGUUACAUGCCUUUUCCCCCCCCAUGCCCAUGAUUGGAUUGUAAAAUUAUAUCCCUCUAAUUCAAGCUAAUAGAUCCAAAAACAUAAGUGCAUCAUAAGUGUUGAAUCCUGGUUUCCUGAGAACACGCAACGGAAACCCGAACCAUCAAUCCAAAAUGCAGAGCUCAUCAUCUCUACAGUCGACCAUUUGCGGUGAGCUAAUGAUCGGCCGAGCCAGCGGUCGAAAUGGACUCCUCCCUUCAGAUGGAGGACUCAGAUCAAGUGGUUUGCACAAUUGUUCGCUGAGCACUAGGUUUGCAAAGGAAUUGCUCUCAUCAAUGUUGGACCCAAAACAAAUUUAGCAAGCACGAUUUAAAAACAAGUGUCUAGAUAUUACAUGAUUGAGUUAUUUUUUGCCAGUGUAGCUAAGUAGACGUAGUUUAUUAGGGUACUGAAAUCUGUUCCCGAGGAGUGACAAAGUAAUUAGCAUGUACUCUCUCUAAACAAAACCGAAUGAAGCAGCACAGGGUCGAAAAAUCAAUUCUACACAUAUCUCGGUAGACUUAAUUUUAAUCUUCAUUCAAUGUGAAAAGAAUCAGGGAAGGAAAAAGCCGAGGCGCAUUUGUAACUCUUUCGAAUCGCACACAAUCGCAGGUCAUCACAAAAUAGGUCAGAGCCUACAUCAAUUUCACCAGAAAAAGAAAAUACAUUAAAAAACAAAAACAAGAAGAAGAAGGUGAAGGAUAUGGCUCCUUUUUUCCCCCCCCCUCGAACAUUCAUGUAAGUAUUAAGCCAUUCCAUAUUUAAAUGAAGGAGCUUCCUAGCUAGAGUGCUAGCAUGGAGAAAGCAUGUAGACUGUCCUCAUUGGAUUGCAUGUUCGUUCCUGCACGGCCGAUCGCUCGAUCGUGGAAAAGCCUGAGGGCUCUCCGCCAUCUCCGGCCAUCUCUGGCAUCAGCAAAGAGCACGCGGUUUAGCCGAAAGAGGAAGAGCCUCAUCGCAAACACCAUAUCGGCAUAAGAACCCCUCAUUCGAACGGCGAGAGGAAGCUUGAGUAAGAAGAACCACAAGAGAGCAACAUGGAGAUGAGAGUGGCCGCCGACGGUGCUGCUUGCAGCGAGGAGCUUCAGCUUCAGCAUCACCACAAAGUCUACUGCCAUGUCCUACAGUUGAGAACUCAGGAAAAGGAUACAAGAAGAGAGUUUAUUUCAUGCACAAUGUCCUUCCAUUUAAGGAUCAUAGAUAUAGGAGCAAGCUAAAUUGCAUAUUUGAAUUAUUGGUAGAAAAAAAAAAUUGAAGUAUUGCAUCUUCAUUGAAAUUUCGGACGCAUAUUUGAAUUAUCGAAGGCAAUCAAAUGAGAGUAAAGACAAACUGAGUCUGAAGAAACACAGCAUUAAUAUGUCUUUUUCUACCAGAAAAGCCACCGAGUGGGGGCCUAUAAUUGCAGAUGAAUGAGUACAAGACUCCUGUCUUUGGAUGAUAAAGCUACCUCCUCUCUCAGCUGAGAAAGUUUGAAAUUUGUGUCGGUCCUAAAUUUCAUAGAAACUUAAGACCCUUGGUUCCUUUGUAUGUAGAAGAAAAUAAUUGAAGAGAUAAUAGAACAUUAUUUGAAUAUACAAUUUAAUUUACUACUACGUACUGUUAGCGGCAUAUUUCGGCCCACAAACAAAUCAGGGCUGGAAAACUCGGCCCGUGUUUUACGACCUCAGACAAACUUAAGUAACCAAGAACUAGAUUCAGAAAUCGGGGAGUCGACGGCCAGAUGAUUUGAUCAUCUAAUUCAAAACUUACAUGAGGUCAGGACAGUUAAAGAGCAGCCCUGCCAUCGCGGGGACCAGACAAAAACAGGAGGGCACGAGUUUGGUUCAAACGAAAUUCGGUUGAAUGUGGCAGGAUUAACUGCAGAAGAUAGGCCUGGACAUUAUCGACCAACGGUUACAACCCAAGGCUCUAUAAAUGCAGCAACAGAAGAAGGCGACAGGAUCUCAACGGUAUCCAGUUAUUUUCCCGAGCAGUAGAGCUAAGAUGUAAUCUAUUCAGGCCCUACAUUGAACAAUUUUUUUUCUUAAAAAGCAACUGAUGAUAGGUAUUCCAAGUACUAGUUUAAAAAAGAGCAUCUAAGCCCCCGUUACAAUAUUCCACAAGGAGUUUCCUAAAGAAAUUUCUUUCGAAGGCACCCCUUCCUUACCCUCGGUCCGGUUGAAAAUUAUAUGCAGAUGCUGUAGAAGAAUAUUCCAUUAGAAGUCCAACACGAAAUCACUCGAUCUUUUGAGUUUUGAAAAUGAACUGAUUAGAGAUCAAUCAUGAGAUUAUUGAACUCCGCUAAAGCCCGAGUAGAUAACAAUCCCUCGGUAGCAAACUCCCACAUGCCAUUGACGAGUCGGGAGGGAACCAAACUCAAAUCUAUCUUGCCGCGAAGGACAAGAGAACAGGGCAUCAGCGGGUGCCAUCACCAAGCCAGUUGCAAUACCAUGUGCUUAUGAAUACUUAAUGUCGUCCUAUAUUUUAUUUAGUUCAUACAACAUACUGAGUUGCAAUAGUUUUUUCUAUUGAUACUUAGAUUUGAAAGUACAAGACAGAUGGGUGAUAGUAAUAUGGGUGAUAGUAAUGUAAAUGGGUAGCUUAGAAGGUAUAUUUUGGAUAGUUGGUGAAAAUCAAAUAAGUUGCUCCAAAAUGGAGUAGCAAAAUAAAUAGCAUACUUUUACACGGGCAAUUGCCAGCUUGUGGAAAAGCCUUUAGGGAUCUUCGCCAUCGCUAACCAUCACAUGCAUCAGCAAGUAGGACACAGUGUAGACAAAAGAGGAAGAGCCACAUCAUAAACACCAUAUCAGCAUAUGAACCCCUCAUUCACACACCAAGAGGAAGUUCAAGUAAAAAGAAAUAUGAGAGGGCAACAUGAAGAGGAGAAUGGCCGCUGCUGCCGCCGUCACUUGCAGCGAGGAGCUUUAGCUUUAGCAAUACCACAAGGUCUACUGCCAUUUUCAUCUAUUAUAAACACAGGAAAAAAGGAUAACAAGAGAAGGGUGAAUUUUCAUAUACAAAGUCCUUCCGUUUUAAGCAUCCUAGAGAUAGGGUCAAGUAAAUGUGCCUUUAACAUUAUGGAUAGGAAAAAAAAAAAAAAAAGGUACUGCAGUUUCAAUGAGUUUCAGAGGCAAUGAGUUGACACUCAAGAACAUUGCAUCGAUGUUUGUCUCUUUCUCAGCCUAUGAAAACAUUACAUGAUUGUGGUGUUUGAAUAAUGGAGCUACCUUCUGUUUUGUCUCAGUGAACCAUUGUGGUGUAGACCACUCCAACAUUAAUUUCAUCCCAUCAUGAUCAAGUGUGAUGUUUUAAUAGGAGCUGGUUCUCUAGACCAAUAUGAUAGCACUCCUUAAUUUAUACACGCCAUUAAAGAUGAACUUCCUUUGCAGCAAUCAAAAUUUUGGAAGAGAAAAUGCGGCAUGAUGUCAAAUUCUAAGAGGAACAUCUCUUUAAUCAGUUCGACGGAUGUGCCAUUUGGAAUAUAAUGAAACAAAGCUCUGAAGGGAGGUGGUGAUGGUGACGGUGCUGCCAAAAUACCAUCCAUAUGAUUAAGCAAGCCAAUCAUGAAGCAGAAGACAAACAACUAUCUUUGACCUCCAAUAUAGAUUGAAAGAGAGGCUGUAUAACUUGUUCUAUCUACUAAGUUUGAUUACUCAUACGAAUCCUUGCACAAAAUUUACAAGGCACAACCCUACAAAGCAUAUAAACCCUUAACCGAAAAGAUAACUACAGUUUCCAGUUGAAGGCGAGGCUAUCUAAGUAAGCCACAGGAGAGAUAUUAUAAUACCUCCAAAGGAAUUCUACUAUGUAUCUCGACUUUCUUCAAUGUGUUCCUCUUGAAAUUGCAGAGAAUCAGAGAAUCUGGAUACCAGGAAUUAGUACUAAACCACCCAAGCCAUAUCUCUCCAUCACUACUUGUAGAAGUCACAGGUCUAAGAAAAUACCUUUCUUUCAAAAGACGCGGCCUUUCCACACGAAGAGUUGACACAGUGUGCUGUUUGAUCCAAAUCUCUCUCUCGUAAUCCUUCAUCACCCAAAUCUCCAUAACUGAUUCUUCCUUAACUUGGCAGAGGCCAAGGGAUCCUUCGAUCUCCAAAAGAUGGUUUCGAUUAAUCGACCGGGUCGAAUUGGGGUGCGAAAUUUGGCGGAAUUCCUCGAGUUGGGUAUCAAAAGCAACAAUCCCAUUAGUAGUACUGCUUGUAAAGGCAUCAUACUUUGAUCCCAUCCAGUGCAAACAACCAUGGAGCAAAACGGGACAAGCUAUGGAACAAGAUGGAACAUUGUAAUCCGGCCAACCAAUCCGCCUCCAUGAAUCGGAAUCGAUCGCCACGGUACACACUUCAAACCCUAAUCCGGCGAUGGUCAAAAGAAGUCGAUAAUCUCCGGCGGGGUGAUGCAGGUAGAAUCCGCAGAGAACACCCAUUUCCGAGUUGUCGGAUCUGGGCACAAAAACCCAAUCUUUCGUGAUCGGAUUGGUGACGUAGUAGUUAGAAUUCGAGGCGGAUUCUCGGAAGCAGAGGAAUCCGUUGCAGGAGGCGACCAAUUUGAGGUUAGGGUUUUCACUACCGGGGAAACUCUUCGUCUUCGUAGGAGAGAGGGCGAUCUCGUCGACGCCGUGGGAGGAGGCGUCGAAGAGGUAGAGGACGGUGGAGUCGGUGAGGUCGUAGAGGGGUUGGGCUUCUCUCCGGGAUUGCAGGAAGAUUGCGUUACGUAAAAAUAUUCUAUUUGUUUCUGUACGUAAUAUUGCAUUCCGAAUAUCGCGAUGAGCACGAUAUAUUUUCUGCGGUCCCAUCAAAGAACGCAGAAGUAUAUCUUUAUAUGUUUUUUUUACAAUUCAAUUUUAUCCAAUAGCGUUAGAUAGAUCUCAAUACCAAACUAAGCCGAAGUAUUUUUAUCCUCAACUAUAAUAUCUGCGAAUAAGAUUUGGUCGGUCAUGGGAGUAGGAAGGAGGAAGGGCGCGAUGGUAAAUUGUAGUUAAUGGCACUUUGCAGACUACUUUUAUUCGUUUUUAAUCUGAGCACAGCUUUCUUGUUUCACCCAUUCUCGAGUACAAAUCACUUACAUUCAUUUACCACUUUUAUUUUUAAAUUUCUCGAUGAAGAAAUUUAAGAUCUACGCCACAUAAUAGAACAUACACGGAUUGCAGGAAAGCAAACCCAAAUAACCCUCUCUCCUGGAUCCGACCCAAAUACCACAUGAUUCUGCGUGCUCACAUUUGUCAUCGGAACAAAUCAACAACAAAACCAGAAUGGUAUAAAAGUGCAAAUGUUUUAGAUGACAUAAACUCCUGGAGCAUACAUAUAAACCGGACCUUGCAACCAACAACAAUAAAUGCUGCAAAUUAAAGACAUAAACCUCACGUAAAAUCUAAAUCACUCCAAUAGGCAUCAAGUUUGCUCUCCUGCAGUCUCACAAAGUAACAUAAGAAAGGGCAAAAAAACAGAAAAGCAAAAAAAAAGACAAUAUUUUCGGAAAAAACGAAAGGCAUUCAAGGCUAUUUCCAUUGCUUUGCAAUACACUACAAACAAGAGAAUACAAGUUCAUAUAUGAGAACUAAUCCUGGAUUACAACAAGCAGGUAAUCAGAUAUGCUAACUCAGAUAUGCUAACUCUGUUCGCUGAGAUUAUUCGGAGAUGAAGAUUCCAGAUGCAUUUAAGUUACAGCUUUCGCAUCAUCUGAUGUUUAUGCUUCACAUAUACUAUUUCCGGUUCUUCAAAUAUGCUUCUCAGCACACACUGUAACUACUGAAGGACAGAGCCCCUGAUAAUAAAUAACUGAUGUAUCCCAAUGUAAAUAAACUCUUUUACAUGAUUUUUGAAAAGGUAUGUAAUUUGCGGAAAGGCUUAAACAACUAAAUAUAAUGAAAGCUGCAGUUAGUACACUUUACAAGAGUCAGCCAACCCAAACGGCGAAUACCUGAUUGCUCCUUGGAGAGUUUGCUCCCUUCUCUCAAAGGGAUCAACAGCAAGAUGUCAAUCUCCGCGACAUUGACGUAAAUCACCAUGAUAUAUUUUACACUGACCAAUCAGGUCCUCAUUUACCAAAGCAAUCGGUUGAUCAGAAUCACUUACUGAAGCAACCAAGGAGAUCAAUUCGUCACUUUAGCUAUAAUAAGCCAAAAUGUUCCAUUUUUUUGGCAGUCUGUUUGAUGUAUCUCUUAAAGCUAAUAAAGCUGGUACCUAUGAUGUAUUAUCUCUUACUGCCGGGCUAGCCAUUUUUAAGCGGUGAGAUACAGCAAUUGGGGACCUCCCGACUGCUUCCAGAAUCCUACUGAACACCACCUUCACAGGUACACAUGUGACCAAGGGAGCUGCUCCCUCUGGUUUGAUCAAGCUACCCAAAACAUCCCCCGUCUCACCCCCAAGCUUCUUUUCAAUAGCAAUUGAAGAGAGAGUUCUAAUCUUCUGGCUCGACAAGUUAGUUCUUUUAAAAAGCUUCUUCUGAAACUUCACUGAUGAUGGUCGAUUAGCACGCGUGAUACUCCUCUUUGCCAACUGGGCCUUAUGAUUAUGGAUGGAAUGCUUCUUUAAAUGAGGAGCCUUGAUUUCCCAAUCAGAAUAUAGAAGAGCCUUCUCGUCAUCAUUAUCAUAAUCGCCCUCUAAAGUAGAUGUUAUGGGAUUAGAACGGGGGACUCUUUGCAUGGCAGUUCUUCGGCCUGUCCUCCAAAAAGGCCGUGGUGCGGUACUUUCAUCAAGGCUGACAUUAUUAGCCAUAAGAAGUUGAGCAGUGGAACCAUCUUCGAGUAUCUCGAUUUGAACAGGAUGUCCAACAAUUGCUUUGCCAUUCAAUCUGCUCAUUAGAGAAACCAGAGGAACAUGCUCGCCUUGAUAGCUUGCUUGCACCUUUAGAUCAACAUCUAUCAAUAUCGGUUUUCGACCAACAUGAGACGUCCCUUCCACUUCAUAGUCUGAUAGGGGGAUCAUAUGAGAAUGGUUUUCAAUCAAAUCAGACUCAUCAUAAUCAUAGAGAAACUCCUCUUUCACUUGGUAAAUUCUUUCCGAUUUAAAAGUUCUUCCCCUGCUUUGAUACAUAGAAUCCCUAAUAGAGCCAUCAUUAUAGUUAUCUGAACUCAUCUUUCCAUCUGUCAAAUCCAUAGACCUCUUAGACACAUUACGGUUGUUGCGUUUACCUUUCAUAUGCCAUUUUGAGACCCCAGCAUCAGCCGAACCAUCCACAAGGUCCUCAUUAGAGUUCAAUUGGGGAACAUAAUUAGACAGAGGCAUCAUUUCAUUAUUGUCCAUAUCUCUGAAGUCUUCUGAAAAUUUAGAUGCGGAAGGACCACACACGUUCAGUUCUGGUGCUAAUGUCUGAUUUGUAUCUGCAAACAUAUCAGACAAUCAACACUACAUAGAACUUCCAUAAGAAAAGGACUGCUCUAAUCAAAUACUCAUAAAAAUGUAUUAAAAAGCCAAUUGCAAAGAAUGUAAGACGACAUAGUGCAAAUCAAGCGUAAAGUAUAGGGCCACAUUAUAUACACGAUAGGGAAUAUCAAAAUUCCUUAACCUUAAAUAAUGGCAUUCCCAUAAACAACAGCAUUCUACAUAAAGUAAUCCUGGAGAAUUUCAGAUUAGUGCAUUUAAGACAUCGCGAAGCAAUAAUAAGAAAAUCGAAAGCCAAGAGGAAUAUAUACCAACAAAACAUUAACAGAAAACAUGUAAAUACACCACAUAUGAAAAUAAACUUCACAUUAGCAUGUGAUAGUAUCAAGACAUGAUUUCAAAGUACUAAAAAGUCAGCUUGCAUCAACUGGUCAUAUAUCAAAAUAAAAAUUUGUGGCACUCAGCAUAGUCAUGAUGCACUGCAAUGACUAGCUCAGGGAAAAUAAAAUUGAUUAACUGCUACACAGGCAAUAACAUCUCGGCUCUGUGGCCUUGCACACGGGGUGCUAAAGGAUAUUCCUAACCAAGAUAUCAUGCAAGCUCAGAAACCAAAAAGAAAAAUUGAAGGAUUUGUUCAGUAAACAAUCAUAAAGCUAGAUGUGUUGUCAAACAUUUUAGCACUUUAUUGCUUGUUAACAAACUGAAAGGAGAUAACAUAUGAUAGCCAAGCAAACAAGCAUUUCAAUUUUUAGCAGCAGCAAAAGAAUUAGGGUGAUAUCAAUAAGUCUUACCAUCACGGAAGCAACAGAGCAAACAUUAUAAUAAGCUGCGUAUGGCAUCUAAGUAUGCAGGAAUAGUAAGAAAAAAGAGCUUUCCCUUUUUUCUAAUACAUGAAAUAACUUGUCCACAGCACAUGCAACGUGGUGACUUGCAAAGAUGCAAAAGGAAAUACCAAUAAUCUCAACCUCCAGAUAGAUAGAGAAGCUGAAGAUAUAGGAUCCAGAUAGAUAGGGAAACUGGUAUAGAAGAAUAUACAAUAUAAUAUUAAGCAUCGACUUGCAAUAAAGAAGCCAGAUAACAUAGGGGGGAAAAUAAUUUCAAGCCCAAUACCUAUGAAAAGCUCUCUCUCCUCAUCCGUGUCAGUUUCUGAGCACUCCCUUCCUAAAGAAUCAGACUCAUUCUUUAAGCCCGAAGAUGUAUAAUCUUCUGCCACACCAGGAUACUCAAAGCAACUUUCCAAACCAAAAUCAUCUCCUGCAGUAGGCAACAGGUCUGAAGGAAAUCCAUCAUUAUCCAUAAAAUCUUGUGAAUCAGCAGGUAAAUAUAUGCAAUGACUUCUUUUCGCCCGACAGAUUGCACUCCCCAUUUCUCUUUCUCCUUGAACAGAGACAGCACUACCAUCGCGAUCCACAUGCAAAGAAUGAUGAGCUGGCAGUUUUGAACUACUUUGUAAAACCUGAACAAGUGGUCGACGCCUAUCACGUUUUUUAACACUAGACUCCUCAAAUGCACUGUUCUGUGAUCGCUUCUUUUUAGCAACCAAUGCAUUUUUCUCACCACCAGUAUGAAGAAAAUCAUCAACAUGAUCAUAGGCGUGGUUCUGUGACAUCUCCCAAGCAACAGAUGGGGACAGCUUUCUCUUAGGAGCAAUUCGUAGACCAAAAUCCUGAAGCCCUCUCAUCCUAGGAAUGGUUUCUGUUGUAUCUUCUUCCCAUCUGAAUUGCUUAUUACUUCUGCUUUUGUAUUCAUCCUCUUGAGACCAGGCUGCUUUUUUGGGAAGCAUCUGAGAUUUAUAUCCAGAAAUUUUAGCGUGUAUCCCAGGCUCCUCAUUUUUCAAGUACAUUUCUGAAGAAGAUGAGUUAUAAAGCUCCUUUCUAAAAGCACCAGAAGGCUUAUUGGCACCGCCAUUAGAAGUGGCACCUUGUUUCUGAUGCUUCUGCUCAAGCUGUUUUCUCUCAAGUUCAAGAGCAUGGAGAAUAGCAUCUUCUCUACGUGCAUAUUUCUCUCUUUUCUUUAUAGGAGCACCUUGGGCAGCCUCAGCCCUCUCAAUACAAGCAUCAAACUCACCGCAUCUGAAUGCCUUUACACGUUUGGAUUUCUCUAGAUUGUACCAGUCCCUGCAUAAGAGACGACAGAAAUGUGAACUUAACGAAGGACACAAUUUUGCUGCUUAUUUUAGAAUCCUAUAGAUGUAACUUCUUUCUGGACCAAUUGAAAGAAUGAUCUACAAGCACUCAAGCUAGCUCUAUGUUACCUAGGCGAAAGAGAAGAUUAAUAACUGCACAAUAUUUUUUCUCAAAAAAAAUAACUGCACAAUAUUAGCACACACAGUAUGGCCAGUUAUGAGUUCAUCUCAACUGCAGCCAGACCCAGGAGGCCAACCUCAAUAUAACAGUUAGGAUGGUGUUAGAUCUUUUUUUCUUCCCAUCAUGCUAUUGGUUAAAUUUGUCACUAAAACAACUCAUGCAUUCGACAGGAGAAAUAAGGCGGAAAAAUGGUUUUGUCAAAUCCCUGAACAAAUAUGAGUAACUACCAAAUAAGAAAAGGGCAUAGGUGAAAUUUGCAUAAAUUUAUAAGCAUUUAUCCAAAAAUAUCUCACCUAUGCAUAAAUUUAUAAGCAUUUAUUCAAAAAUAUCUUGCAAAAAUAUACGCCAUUCUUAAAAUAUACCGCACUCUGUAAAUUCAAAGUUGAUCAUAUUUCUUUGAACCAAGAAGGAUUUUAAAAAAAGCAACAAGCUAAAUUGAAGAUUAAAAAAGAUUUUAAAAAAAGGUUGAGACCGCUUCUCCAGCCAAAUUUAUCCAUUGGGCUCCACACAAAGAUCCCCGUACAUAGCUCAUAAACUGGGUUAGUAAAUCUAGAAAUCUACCUCCAUAUCAUUCACCAAAAGGUAGGAAAACUGCAUUUCAUUAAGUGAAUUUGGAGAUAUUAUUCAUAUAUAAUUCGGUAUAUAAAAGGAAACUUUGUCAAUAGAGUCAAGCAUACUUAUUUGUUUUCAAGUUAUGUUGGUUUUAAAUACAAUAGUCACCAUAUCAUUUAAGGCCAUGAAAAUGAACAUAUCACAGGAAUAUGUUAAAGCAUACAUAUGCAUGUAAAAUACAUUCUUUAUAUGAUAUAUUGUAUCUUUUUUAAUUCAUACAAAAUAUUCUCUCAUGAUUUUUGGAUCCAACUACACAUUAUGCAUAAGGCAGUGGCAUAAAGUAAAAUCUAUACGCAAAGUAACUCUCAGCUUCAAGAGAAUGGGCAGCGAGUACAAGAUAGCAGUAAGAUGCUUUAUCACUACUUUCAUUAGAUCUCGUAUGAACUAUCAGAAAAGCUAAAUGUGAAAAAAGAAAAAAAGAAAGUCAGCAUGCACACCCAACAGUUGUAAGUUUCUGUGAUUCAAAAGCUCCAGCAUAAAACAAAUUCCAUGACUCAAUAAACUACCACCAUGAUCAAAUUCCACCACUCACAGGGAGUAGAGAAGCCUCUCUGACCAGGGGAACAGCUCUUUACUUAAACAUCAUAUUAUUAGUUGUACAAUAUGUUCAUUUCAAACAAAAAGAAGCUCCAACAAGAAGCGGUAGAGAAGAAGGCAAAAAAAAAGAAGAAAAAGCCAUCAGGUUCUAGAUGAAAUAUAACUAGCAACAUUCAUGAGAAAACAUAUCUGAAUAUUAUCACUUCUUCUACACAUCCAGACCCUAGCAAGCACCAGAAAAGAGCUCAGAAACCCUAAUAACAGUAAGAUGUAAAAACAAAAAAAAUAAUGAAAAAGGGGGCCAAAAGAAUCUCACACGCUGGCGUCCUCCCUACCGAGGAGCUUGACCGGGGUCCCCGAUCUCGGCGACAUGAGGUGAGACGCCGAGAGCUCCUCCGGGCCGAGUAUCCUCCCAGGCCACCACGACCCGUUCCUCCGCCGCACCCACACGAUCGUCCCCACCGAGCAAUCCACGAUCCCUCCUCCAUCCCCUCCUCCCUCAUGCGUCCCCAUCUCUGCAACCCCCCACCCACCCUCCCCUCCCCUCCUCGCCGCGGCGGAGGCCCUCCGAUCACCCCCCGGAGAAGGCGAUCACCGCCGCGCAGCGCCGCUUAUGAGAUCCUCCUCCGGAUCCGAUCGCGUUGAAACCCUCGGCGCCUAGGGUUUCCAUUCACAUCGAAGAAGAUCUCAUCCCUCUUCCUGCUCCCACACCACGCCCUCUCCCCUAGGGUUCCUCCAAAGGUCGCCGCCGCCGCCUCCUCCUCCUCCUCCGGCGCCGCCGCCGCCGCCUCCUCCGCCGCUCCGAAGCUCCGGUCUCCAAAUCGCCUCCGAUCGAAGGUGGUGAUAUUUUUCUCAGAUUCGCUCCAACGUUGUCUUAACUUUAUUUUUCUCGUUUAUUUCAUUUCCCUCGCAGCGCUCAACAAUAAUAAUAAAAAAAAUAUAAAAUAAAACUAAGAAAAAUAAAAACGAAGAAAGACGGUGACCAGAUUCGGAUACCCCCCUCUCUCUCUCUCUCUCUCUCCUCCCUUUUUUCUACGAGAGGGGUCGGAGGGGAAUCAGCUUAUCGAGGAUACGGUGCGCGAACCGGCAACGGUUCGUUUCCUUCAUUCCCGACCGGGCCCAAGGAAAACCAGUCUCCGGUGCUGUUGCAACGGUGAAUUAUUCCACGGACCGAGGCCUAUACACCAGGGUCUCCGAAAAGAUAAAAACUCUAAAUUUUUAUAAGAUAUUUGAUGCAUAAAAAAAAAAUUAGCUUUUACUAUACUCAAAACUGGAAAUAAAAUUAUGUGCCGUUAUUAGAUAGAAUUUUUUACUUUAAUAUUUUUUUUAUUUUUCUACUAGAAAAAUUUUUUAAAGCAAUAUUUUAAAAUAGCACUUGUCCUAAUAGUAAUACUGGGAUAACAUUUUUUAAAUAAUAAAUAUUAUAUAUUCUACAAUAAGAUUAGAACGAUCCUGGACAUCUUGCUUAUCGCAUCAAAAUUUUAAGGACCACUUUUUUGAGAGAGAGGGUGGAUUUGUGGGCUAGGUUGAAAUUGUCAAUGAUCCCGGUCUAUAGGGACGGUUCGUGCAACAGUUUCUCGCGGCGGGCGGUGUCGGUGGAGGAAUCUGGUCGUGGUGGAGUCGACUCGGAUUCGUACUUGACCCGACUUCGACGGGUGUCGCUUGAACCGGGUUUUUUCAGAUAAACGAACCGGGUUCGUCCGGCCUAGGGCCGGUUAGAUUGAACCGUCUUGUUUGGGUCGGGCGCGUCGCGUGGUUCUUCAAUGGGCCCUCCAUGUUCUCCUUUCUUUGGCGCUAGGCCCAAUUAUUGGGGAGCACCAUUUUCCUCUGUGGCUCCAAAUUUAGGACUAGAAUUUAUAAGCAUUUAGAACCGGGGAUAGAUAGAAGGAAAUACUUUUUGGAAUCAAAAUUUAUUUUGUUUUCCAUUUUCCUAUCAAAAUAUUGCAACAAAAAUGGGUCACAGUUUCACCUGUUUCACUUGUUUCAUUUGAAACAUAAUAUUCGAUAUCAAUCUCUAUUCAACAAUUAGCAUGCGAUUGAGUUUUUAACUCUAUUUUGCUAGUUGCACCCUUCACUUCUCUUUUGAUUUCGCUUACGGAUGAUUCUGCAUAAUAUAUAAUCAAAUUUCUUAUAAUGUAUUAUUGGAUUUUUCGAUAGAAUUGCAUUGUUUUAUGCUCUUUGUCUUAUCCAAUUUAAUUUAUUUUGCUUCUCACUGUGACAAAGUCCUCAUAACCAAACUGAUUGGGAAGCAAGAAACAUGACCCCAUUCCACAUGUGCAUGUAGUAAUCUUUCAACUUGUUCACUGUUACUUUUAGAAAGUAUAUGAGAAUACACGCAUAUUUGUUAGCAAUCUUAAAGGCAAGGAAAUAAAAUUGUUUAGUAUGAUAAUAGCUAAUAGUAUGUGAUAACAAGGACGAUAUGAUAUCGAUUGAGUGCUACUGGAGAUGGUUAUAUCUCACGUGUAACACGCCUUUAAACGUCUCAUCUAACUAGAAUCAGAGCAAUUAGGGCCUUCUCUAAGCACCGCGUAAAAGGCCUUAAAAGCUAGUCGGAAAUGUUAUGGUUGGAUAUUGUUUCUCCAUAGCUUCAAUAAUCUUCUUAGCUACUGCACCCGCAUACACUGACGAGCCUUCGAAUAUCUACAGAGUACCGAUUAAAAAAAAAAAUUUGUUACCUUACAAACAAUGCUAUAAAAAUGCAUAAAUAUCAUAAUAUAUGCUGUGUGGAAAUGAGAAAUUAAAAAGGACCUUUGUGUUGAACAUGAAGAUGUUGUGGUCCCCGAUGGUCGCACCGGUACUAUGGAUUAGCUCGAGUUGGAGCUCAUCUAGGACCUUUGCGACAUACAACAAGCAAUUGGCCUUAUUUUUCCGAGUGAUCUUAAUGUUCACUUCGUCAUCGAUGAUACGAACAUCUACGAAACAAUCCUUGGAUCUCCUUUGUAUCCACGAGCUCCUCAAGGCUCCAUUUAGUGGAUUAUCUUGAUCCCCCCUAAAAGGGCUCAUUGAUGAGCUCUCCAUGUCGCCACUAUUCACGUCAUUAACCAUCUUCAGCAUCUUUCUCCUCUCAUUUCCAUGUCUCUUUUGCUCUACGAGGAUCUUUAAUUCCUUGAUUGUUCGAUUUAGCUCGUUGAUGUAUUCAAUUGCGUCUCCCACAAUGGAUGCUCUAUCAGACUUGAUUAUGAGACAGAAUUGCAAGGGAUUAGAAUACAUUUGUACCGAGAACAUUAGUGAUCGCAAAAAAAAAAAAAAAUUGUGAUUUGGAAGCACCAAUUGUCUUCUUAACUCCUUAUGAGUAUAUAGAUUAAGAGAAUUUUCUUUCUCAAGAUUGCGUAAAGGGAACUGAUAUUGCGAAAGCAAUAUAUGCUAUUGUGAGAACAUACAUGGUAUCUAGUCAUGUUUUGAACCAUUGUGCUCUUUCAAUAGUAGAAAACUGCUUUAGUAAUAUCAGUUGCCAUGUGUAAAUUGAAAACAAGGGUUUCUAUCAAAGGGAGCAAUAAUUGACAACAUUGACAGCAAGAGACACUAAUUUAUCACGGAUAUUGAAUUCGUACUAUGAAAGAAUAGUAUCACAACAUUGUCCUCUUUUACAUUGCAAAAAAGCUUGUGAUAAAGCAUCAAUCCAUUUAUGGAUGAGAGAGAGAGGGAUAGAGAGAGAGAGAGAGAGAGAGAGAGACAAGUCUAAUUAAGGAGGUCUAGCUCCAAAUUGUAUAUACAGCUAGUCCACAUUAAGAAGCUAUAAAUUAAAGAAACUCAUGCUUUAACCUCCACUAUAUAACAAGCUAUAAAGAAAAGAAAUGGUUUUCUUGCUUCAAGUCAAUGAGACUUUUUCUGAGAAUGCUGAUAUGGGUGCUAUAUCCAGAUACAAAAUGUUGCGUUUUAAAGGUUUGACAUAUCAAUUUAGAAGGGUAAGUAAUUAAUUACACAAAACUAUUUAAUUCUAAUGAAAACUAAGGUUAAUUAUGGAAAUAUAAUAUACGAAGAUUUGUCGCAACUCGAGCAAUAUGCAAGCAAUUUAUACCAAUGCACAAAGAUGUAAGUUUGAGUAGAUAGAUAAUAAUUGCAAAAUGAUAUACAGCAGUACCUUUGUGGGGUUCGGGACUAAUGAUUUCAAAGCUGCAUACUUUUCAUUCAACUGCUCUCUUCUCUGCUUCUCGGCCGCGAAGUUUUGUUUCCCGUCCACCUUAGCCAGUCCUCCAAUCUCCCUCCUACAAUCUAGUAUCGCACUACUAAUUUUCCUCCCGUCGAUUGGUUGGAAAAUAUUCCCUCCGAUUCCUUCUCCAACUCCGAUCACGGCAUCCCCCUCAUCACCGUAGAGCAUCCCGUAAUUUUGUGGCAAUGAAUGGAGAAGAUCCUUUAACAGGUGAGAUCGAGUAGUAGGGCAGACCACCGAAUGAAGUGCCGGAUCAUAAAGCAUCGACGCACCACCGUCUUGAAUUGUUGCUCCUGAAAGCUCGUUGUAUGCCUCGAACGGAAAGCCGCUCAUCGGAGGAUAAUCCGGAUUGGUAGUGCACCUUGGAAGUUUCAUGAAGCUUAGAAGGUCGGUCGUGACCGCGUAUGAAUUUGGAUAGAGGAGACCAUCACUGCUUUGGAUAUUUUGUUCCACAGGAAUAGGCAGUUGAUUUUCGUAGUUCUGCUGGAGGUAGAUAGCCGGAUCUUGGAUGUCUUGCAUGGCUGGCUCCCAAGUAGCACUUUCCAUCGAAGGCGUGCCGUGGAUGAUGUGACUAUGAAGCUCUUGCUCUAUAUCAAAGCCAAGUUGAUUCUCGAGGUGAUCGAGCCCCGCGGCUAUCGACGUCCCCUCUAACGACGGAUAAUGGUUUUGGCUCGAGAACUCUUCGAUCGGAAAGAAGGGGACCUUAGUGCAUUCUUUUACGCCGCCUAGGCCGUUAUCAGGUAGGGGUUCUUGAGAGGAGCUAUGAAAUGAAGAAUUUGGAACGAGGUUAGGAUCAUGAGAGGGAUCGGUGUAGCCAUUCUCGUCGAACAUUUUUGCUGUUUUUAUAGAAUUCCACCCUCCAUGUUUGUCAUGCAAAGCUAAAUCUAAACAUCAAUAUCGAAAGAGGAGGCCGAUGAACUUAGAAAAGCUACAAGAAAAGAAAAGGUCCCUAAGAGAACUUUGUUGUCGCAAAAUUAGAAGACAACAUCGAGAAUUUAAAGAAAAGGAAAGGAAAAGGGUAAUACAAGGAGGUAACUCAAUAGGAGGAAAAGGAGAGGAAUGUUUAGAGGGACAUAACAGUGUUGAUGAUGUUGAGCUUUCCUUUGCUGCUUGGUUUCUUUUAUUGGUCUGAAGUGAUCGAAAGGUUCGGAGUUCAAAGUAAGGCUAUCCCCCAAUCUCUUUUUUUUCGUGUAGAGAAGCUGUUGCGGAGAGUAGGUUGAAAUGAUAAUCUAUUGUGCUCCGUUUAGCCCCCAACAAACUUCCUAAUAUCUUCUUUCCUUCUCCUAAUCCCUCAUCAUUACUCUUCCGAAAAAUAAGUUUUCAAAUACCUAAACUUCGCUAAAUAAUCACUGGAGUGCCAUCAAGCUACCUUCAUACAAAAAGACCUUCAGUGCAAGAUACCAACGAGUUAUGCAAUUAUAUACUCUUAUUUUGUUAUUAAUUGAAGUACAAUUACAAGGGAAAGGUAUCAACAGUAUUAUGGAAAAAGAUUCUAUGCACAAAAUUCCUCCAAUAUUUCCUCCAAACUAUUUAUUAGGCAAUUUUUCGAUAAGUAAUGCAAAUAUUCGAUAGUUGCUUACAAUGGUAUAUGUGAUUUGAGUAUUUAAUUUCUCGAGUAUCUGAUGGAUGCAGCUGAAACCAAAAUAUAAUGAAACAGUACAGCAGUUAUAUUCUAAGCAAAUAGCAGUUGAAUUUUACCCCUAAGACUUGGAAGGCUAGAGUUUUGUGUUAAAACGAAAGCAUUCUAUGAUAGAAUUGUGAUUUCGAAAGAAGUUUAACAUUAAUGUGGGGACCAUGAAUGAUGAUCUACGCAUGAAAAACGGCAAUUGCAACUAAUCUUGUUAGCUUGAUUGAUGGUAAAUUAUGCCAAGAAAUAAGAACUAUAGUCUAACCAAUUAACUAAUUCAUAGGAUUUCUAAUCAAUUGGACUAAUUUAUGUUAAUAUGAAUUCUAUAUUCAUUCAUUUUACCAUUUAAACACGGUUUGGGUGAGGGAAUAUCACAUGUUUGCCACCAAACAUGGGGAGAAGAGACUCCAAAUCCACACUCUUUUUGCUUUGGCCUCUCUGAUUCUAUUUAUCCCUUAGGAAGUUGAAAAAUGCAAGCCAUGCCUCCUAACUUCCCCCUUUACUAUAUUCAUAUGGUGUAUUUACUUAUACACUACGUCCCAAAAGUAAAUGUACCACAUAAGAGUGCGCUAAUAUUGUACAAUAAUCAUUUUUUUCGGAGUGAAAUUAUUUUACAAUAAUCAUGAUGGCAAAUUGGCAAGGAGUUGAGAAGUCAUUUAUGGGAUCUCCUUGCGAUAAUGGCGUACAAGGAUUCCUAAAGAAUUUAGUUAGUCGAGAUGAUUGCUAUCACAUACGUGCCAUGUUUUGUUACUUGAUAGCUUAAAUGUCUGUUUAGCCUUAGUCUGCAAAAUUUUCUCUAUUUCAAGAAUCAAAUAGACAAAACAUUCAAACAACAAACGUUCAAGCGGUUGGCAUGCUACCUAUCUCUUAAAAAACAAAUCUAAACUUUUGUUGCAGCGGAGGAAAUUAAUUGAGCUUACAAACCUUACUAACGGAAGUAUUUGUUUGGAUUUUCUUCACUUCUCUUGUUGUCAGAAAUUGUCGAAAAAAUUAUAAUUAAACAUGAGUAAAAAUAAAAAUUAAUAAUGUUUUCUCAAACAACUUUACUCAAAAACACCUCUCCAGAAGCUUCGAGCAGACUAAACAUAACUGAAGCCUUUUUAGUUACAAGUGCAGUUUUGGAGAGUAUGCGAAGUCAUUCUAGCUUAAGAAUUCAAAAACAUCAUUUACUCCACAAAUCGAACUUGGAGGCAUGUUUUAGACUCAGAUGUAGUUAAUUAACCUUAAAUGCAACCAAUAUCUUAAAUGCGACCAAUAUGUACAAAUUUUGGGAGUUCAAUCCUCUAAGAAACCUACCUGAAUCCAAAUUCUUCACACACCUAGCCAUCACUCGUGCUAAAGACCGUAUCGUUUGGUUCGAGGAUAACCAAAAAAUGAUUAUUCCAGGGAUAGGUAUAAAUUGAGGUAUAAGCGGAGAUUAGAUCAAUUUUGCGUUUGGAUGAAAAUUAGGUUAUUCUUAAGAAUAAAAAAAAUAGCGUUUGGUUAGAUAAGAUGGAAUAAGAAAGAUAGUAGACUUUUAUAAAUAAAAAAUAAUGAUAUUACCAUCUUAUUAUAUUUGAAUUUGAAUUUUUAAAUUUUUAAUUUUAAAAUUUUAACUUUGAAAAUUUAAAUUUUAAAAUUAAAAUUUAAAAUUUAAAAUCUCAAAUUUUAAAUUCAAAAUUUUGAAUUUUAAAUUUCAAACUUUAAAUUUAAGUUCAAAUUUAAAUUUAAAAAAUAUAAAAUAUAAAAUUUUAAUUUUAAAAAUUUAAAAUAUCAAAAUUUAAAUUUAAAAUUUAAAAUUUAGAAUUUAAAAUUAUAAACUUUAAUUUUGAGAUUACAAAUUAUAANGUGGAAUAGCAAAUUCCUUGCUAUUUUAGGAUAACCGAAAAUAGUAAGGUUUGACCGGAAUAUUUUAUUCCGGCAAAAAUUAUCCCCGCUUAUCCCAUGAACCAAACAGGGCCUUAUAGUUUAGCUGCAACUGUAACAACCAAAAACCUAUAUAGUUUCCUGACUUUCGUCGUGGCUCAGAACCGAUAUCAACUAGUAGCACGCAUCAAAGUGAUACUCCAUUUAGCAUAAUUUUAAUGUGGUUCGUUCUAAAUCCUUGCUUACACACACCUCCAAAGAGAAGUAUUAUCAACCUUCAUCAUAGAGAUAAGAAAUUGUUUAAAAAAAAUCAACGUUUAGCUAUAUUUAGAAGUCCACUUUGGAGCUUCUAAUUUUAUUUAGAAACUGCUCCGGGUCACUUCAGUAGUGCUUCUAGCAGAAUUACUCAACUUGCAUACUAUCAAAGAGAAAUACACCCCUCAAGACCAAGCAUGGCCUAAGCAACAUUAGAAAAAAAAAAAUUUAAAAAAAACAAAAUAUUAAUAUCUGAUGAUAAUUGAAUAUUAUUAACAUAAAAUUAGGCGAUUAAUCUAGCACAUAGAGAAGAGAUGAUAAGUACAUUACUUGACAAAACCAAUAGGAAAGUGGUUACACAAGUAAAACACCAUGCAUCAAUCAAGUACUUGAACAUUUACUUGAGCUCACAGAUUAAUUUGAACUAAAAUAUUCAAAAAAGCAAUAGUUAAUUCAAGACUAAUAUGAUUAACAAAGCAAUGGUGAUCUUCUAUUACCACAAGAAACAAAAAGACAAGACGCCUGGCAAUCUUCAGUAACACAAGAACUUUGUAUAGUAGAAUAGGUGUAAGGCUUCUAAUAAUCAACAAAUCUUCAAAUUGUUUAAGGCUUUUGUAGUAGGCAAUUUACGAAACAUUUUAGACUCAGCCCCAACUGAAGAAACAUAUUUCGGUUGCAUAAUUACAUGAUUUUUCAGCACCAAAAGCUUCACAUACUAUAUCAACAUACCUCACCAUUCUGUUCCAUGCACACAUCUCUAAGGAAAUUGCGAGUUGAUAAAUUUGUUCUCCUCUUCAUUGAUUCAAAGUGGUAUAAGAACUUCGCUGAACUACAUACCGAAGGCACUUUUUUCUGGUUCGUUGAACUACUGCAAUUGAAAGGAGCUUGAAAAGGUGAGGUAUGAGCGAUUAUCUUGUUCUUUUGCCAAGUCAAAUUAAGCAGCCCUUGAAAGCUUUUCUCAAAGCAGCUUCAUCCAAAUUCCUUCCAAUAAAUACCAGCUUGUUGAUCCUUUUCUCAUUAGGACCCCAUGGUUUCCCAGGGCAUCCAUCCAACAUGGAGUGCACACCCUAGAAAUCAAGAGAGAGAGAGAGAGAGAGUACAAGCUGUCAGUACUGUAAGAGAAAUACGCAUUCGGACAAACAAGCCAAGCAAAAAUGAGCAGGUACCCUCUCCAACUAUAGAAUUUUAGAAGGCCCUUGAACAUCAGUUUUCUUAAUUCGAAUCAUCAACUAAUUUGAUGUGUGAUUCAAGUGAACAUUGUCAGAUUCCAUUAUAUGAUUUCCGACAAAAAGUUUCAAAAUAUAACUAUUCUGGCAUGUUCUAUGAGAUUCUAUCCAGAAAGUUAUGAACCGGUAAAAUUCUAAUGGAAUUUUCUGCAAUUAAACAACACAACGAGUUUAAAUAGAAAAAUACAGCUGAAACAAAGGCCUGUACCCAAAUGACCUAUAGUUGGAGGGGUGUUUGCACAUUCCCAUUAAUUUUGAUUGCCUUUAAGUCCCACUGUAAUGAAGAAGAAAAAUAACAGAGGCAAGGUAAUGGAUAUAUAACCUGGAGAACAUAACGCCCAGUAGACUCAUUUACAGAUAUAACACCUUUCAUUCUGUACAAAUCAUCGCCUUUCUCAUCAACCAGUCUCUCUAGCCAAUCAUUGACCUUGGCAUUGAGAUACAGUGAGACGUUAGUAGAUAAACCCAAAAAAAAAAAAACCAGACGAGUACCUUGAAAUCAAUGUGCAGCAUUAAACCCCUAGAGUAAGAAAGGGGGGAAAUUUAUAUUUCACCAGAACAAUUGACACUUAUCGCAUGACUUGUGUAAAAUGAAAACAUAUACUUCAAACCUAACUAGGGUGCCUUAUAUUAUUAAAUGAUUCUAAAAUUCCUUUUACAUAUUUUCCUUUCCAACUACGGAUGCACCAACAUCAAUGCAUCCAAUAGUGAUAUGCAAAACAGCUGCUGCAACCAGCUUUUUAGAACAUAGCACACCAAAAUUAAAACAAAGUUGGAACUUGGAAAGUACCUCAUCAAGAUCCAGCAUCCCUUCAGAAACUAUGCUAACACUUGUCACAGAAGAAUCAUGGGUGUGAUCGUGAUGGUGUCCAUCAUGGUGACCUAGAAAGAGAGAAAACAUGUCGAUUUAAAGCUAGUAAAGAUUCUACGAAAUUGCUCCUGCCUGUUGAACAUAGGUUUCAAAUUAUUCCUCAGAACAUGGGAGCUGAAACAGUGCCAUACUUUCAUAAGUUACUACAAGAAACUAUACAAAAGCAUUAAGAGAAAGGAUGCUGCUCAUACAGAACGCUUGAUUAGGAGUUAUAUUUAUCAUAAGCAAUAUCCAGUUGGCAUUCUGAUUCCCGUCACUUAUCAUAUAAUGCACAGCCUAGGGAUCAAUCAUUCGUCUUUAAUGAUUCAGGUUUCCGAAUGAGGCAGAUCUUGAUAAGUUAAUAUAUUUGGCAAAUGGAAACUACAGUCAGUAUGUAAGCACAUACCAUGUCCAUCUUCACAAUGAUGACUCGCUUCAUGGUCUACAUCGAGUUGAACUUCAGACUCAAUCCUGCUUAAAAAUUGAUCCAAGAAUGUCAGAUUAAAUUUCCUUGUAUUAAUCUUAAGCAACUACACGGUUUAUCUUUUCAAGACCACAAUGUGGUGAUGUAAAAUGAGAUUCAGAAAUUUCAGAUACUGAAAGAAAAGGCAACAACUGGUACAAUGAAAAUGACCUCUCUAGGUCAUAUCCACCCACUCCUAGAACAAAAUCCAUAUCAACAACUCCAAACUUCGCUUGUUUAAUUUGAGCCAUGCCAUUAAUAAGCUGCAAAAUAAAUAAAAUAAUAAGCACAGACAUGACAACUCGCAGCGGUAAAACCUUUGACAAAAAUAGGUUAUACCUUAAUUUUCCUAGUCAGCAUAUCCAAUUCAAUAUCAUUCACCAAAUCUAUCUGGAAAAAAAAAGAACACAAAGAAUUCAGAAAAGUACAUUGCUUCUUCUUCAAAAGAUUAUGAGACAUUAAAACAUAUAGCCCUAGAGAAUUAUCUAUUAAUAUAUAUACCCCUGCAAAAUUGGAAACUUCAUUUAUGCCCCUCAAACUUCCUAUCAGAUAAAACCUUGUACUUACAUAACAAUUGCACUGUUCAACGGGCAAAAAAAUAAUAAUAAUCAAAACCAAGUUCCCUCUGGUAUUGGAUGAAUCCUCAACUUAAGGGUAUUUUGUGAAAGAUUGCAUAUUUUGAGGGCAAUAUAUGGAAAAUACAAAUUUUAUAAGGGCAUAUAGGUAAACAUUUGGUUUUGCACUGCAUAUCAAAGCCCCAAAAGUUUACUAUAACAACAAUAUGAGAGGUGCAACAUAAAAGGUCUGCUUACACAUAGCAUAUACUUGCCUUGUUUAAUAUAAUUCGGUCAGCAUAAGCAACUUGUUCUACUGCCUCAUUCACGACCCACCUCGGUUUCACUUCAUUCAGAUGCUGCAUGGAGUGCUUGCAGUCCACCAUAGUGACAACACCAUCAAGCUUCACAUGGCGAGAAACCAAUUCAUCCGAACAAAAUGUCUCAAUGACAGGAGAAGGCUUAGCAAGGCCUGGAUAAAGAAAAUCAAGAACUUCUUACAUGACAGACUAACAAGCAUUUGCAGUUUAGUUGCUUAAUAGCUCCAAAAGCCAAGCUAAACAAAUAUUUCCCACCAAAUCGCAACAAAAAAGGUGGUAAUAGUAAGCUGUCAUCAACUAGAAGUUGAAAACAGGAGGAGGUGAAUACCAUGGUGUUGGAGAAGAAAAAUACCAAAAUAAUCAUCUGAAAAACCCUAGGUUAAAAAGGUAUGAGUAUGGACCUUACCUGAACUACGGACCAUUUGAAUUUGGCUAACCCAUUUCAAAAUUUUGAUUUUACUAUGUAACCUUUCAAUUUGUUUGAUUUAAGUCAGUCAAUGAUACUUUAACUUUAAAAUUUGAUUUUGUUGUUUAACUUUACAAGUUUAGUGAGUAUAUUUUAUGCAAUUCUUACAACUAUAAGUUUAUUAAAGUAAGUAAUUAGCUUAAAUUUUGGAGUCAAAGUGCCGUCGACUGACUCAAAUCAAACAAAUUGAAAGAUUGAAUAGAAAAAUCAAAAGUUUGAAAAGUUGGGCAGCCAAAUCCAAAUAGAACAUAGUUCAGGUAAGGUCCAUGAAUUUUAACAAAAACCUAUUGGCUGGCUAAGAGAUAUCAACUCUAUUGCCCUGAAAAAGUGAGUAAUUUAAAGUAAAAGGAGAAAAAAAAAAAAAGAAAAAAAAAAGAGACAUCAAGUCAAAUAAAAAUGGAACUUUUGCACCGAAAAAAAAGAGGGCAACAUGGCAACAAUUAAGUUUGAUAUGCUAAUAAUGAGAAAGAGUAAGUAAUAACUUUAAUAUAUCAAGACUCAAAUAUUAAGUAGGAAAUUAAGAAAAGCAAGUGCAAAUAAUUAACGUCCAUAAGUGUUGAAGCAGUUCGAAGGCUGGAACAAAGAAUUGGAAACUACAGAAGAUAAACAACCAGCAAAAGCAUUCGCAUUUCAUAUUCCAGAGCUUUGACCAAUAUCUCUACCUGUUGUUUCUAUAACAAUAUGAUCGAACUUCUCCCGUUUUUCCUUAACCAACUUCAAAAGCAUCUUAACAAGAUCCCCUCUGACAGUGCAGCACAAGCAGCCAUUAUUAACCAUCACAAUGUCUUCUGCGACAGAUGAAUGACUAGCAACAAGCGAACUAUCAAUAUCAACCUCCCCAAACUGCGACAGUACCACGUCAAUCCAUGAAAUGAAUAUUUUCACCCAAAAUUUGUCUUGCGUGUAGAGAUUAAGUAGAAAAUUCAUUAUGAAAAGAGACAAAAGAGGGAAUAAACUAUCAGAAAUAUGCCAAUCAAGUGAGUCAAGAUUUGAUGCUUUUGCUAAACUAGUUCUACCCAUUCAUAUAACCAUGCUGUUUCAAAUUUCUAAAAAUAAUAACCACCAAAGCCGUUCUGCAGCAGGAGAUAAGGCUCACAAGAUAUAGCACUUUGUUCUAGGUAAUUCACCGUAAGCAAAAUAAUCAGCAACUAAAAAUUACAACAGAAAGCCAUUAUUAUAUAGGGAUAAAGAAAAGCCACCGUGUACCUCAUUUUCAAUGACAGCGAUCCUCUUCCCAUGCUGUGAAGUCAAAAUAUGGUUCAACAGAGUUGUCUGCAUAUAAAUUACACAUCAUGCUUUCUGUGCUGGAAUACAUAUAUAUUUUCCAAAGAAAAAAAAUUAUCAGAAGUUCUUGCUAUAUCACGCUAUAUAUCACUAUAGACGGAAAAUAUCAUACGAAACCUCUGGGGUUAACGGCUCUCUUUAUUUCAUCAUAAGAUGUUUCCUUUGCAGGAUUAAGUUCCCAGCACAUCCCAUAAGAUGCCAAGCUUGUUUCAGCAUUAACAUGGUAUGAGUACCUCAUCAUAUGGGAGAACAUGUUCCACAAGCUAACCUCGUCUUACAGGGGAACAUGUUCCACAACCCAGAAGUCCGUUUCUGUGGAACCUACGGACAAGUUCCAAAAACAGCACGACACUCGAACAAUACUCCAGGCUAAUAGCAUUACUUAUUCGAUACAUAAUUUCUCAAAAAAAAAAUCCUAAAAAAUACUAGACCCAAUGGUUGACAAGAAGAAGCACAUUGCAAGCGAUAAAGGUAAAUAACCAAAUAAAUAAAUAAAUAAAGAUUCUAACAUAGUCGGUUGCCUCGGUUGCCUCUCAGAAGAAGCCCAGGGAGGGGAGGAAGAGUCCUAUGAUUACUUCCUUUCUCUCUUUAGAACCAAACAACGUAAUUUGAUCCGCACAAGAACCAGAGACAGAGAAAAACACAUAAGUUCCCUUCAAAGAUAGAAUCCACCUCCUAUAUGGUAUUCUUAGAUCUUUAGGGCGCAACUGGAUCAAGGCCAAUAAAAAAUGCAAGAGCCUACUAAAGAAAAAUUAUCGAAUCGAUUGAUUAGAAUCUGACCUUUCCGGAGCCGAGGAAUCCGGUGAUCACGGUGGCGGGAACGCGGGUGUCGAGAUCGAGGGCGCUGGAAACGGCUUCGGCGAGAUCGGCCCUGGGUCGUGAAGCGGACACCAUCGAUCGCGAAUCGGACGGCCGAUCGUGGGGGGAGAAGGGACGGGAGAUGAGGGAGUGGAGGCCUCUGAGGCAUUGGGAGAUUGAGGCGGAGGGGGCGGCACCGAUCGGAGGGAGGGAGACGGGUUGGAGAAGAUGCGCUAGGGUUUUGGAAGCUCUCGGGAUCAGCAAUUUCGCAGCCAUGGCGAGGAGAGAGAGAGAGAGAGAGAGAGAGAGAGAGAGAGAGAGAGAGAGCUUAAACCCUACACGGAGGUUUCUUGUAGGAGAGAGGGAGGAGGAGGAAAGGGAUGCCUUAAACCCUAGUGAAGGGUUCUUGUACGAGAUAUACACGCCGAACCGGAGGGAUCCUACAACUGUCGUAUAAUAAAACUCGCACAAUAGAGAAUUAGAGAUGAGCGAGAUCUGAGCCCAGCCCGAUUCAGAGAGGGCCGGCCCUGGAUUGUCCAAAUUAAUAAAUAUAUUAAUUGUCCAUAUCAACUGUCGUACGAUCAAUAUGUAAAUAUGUAAAUAUAUAUAUAUUAAGAAUCAAAAAGCUCCUAUGCUCUAAUGCCCUAUGUACUUUUCCUUUCUGUUUCAUUCUUCUUUCUUUUUUCUUCUUUCUUACUCCUUUUUUCAAUCUUUUGCCGCUCUCUCGGAGGUCCAAGCUGCUUCCAACUUAUAUGCUCAGUUUAUUUAACCUAAUGAAUGAAGCAGGUAGCUUGCUACCUAUUUUCUCAAAAAAAAAAAAAAAAAAAAAAAAGAAUCAAAAAGCUCCGAUAACCUUUUUGAUAUGUUCUAAAUAAUAAUUUCGUUGGGCAGUUAUGACUAUUUAAUAUUCUCUGCAGUAAGUUUUUCCAAAAAUUUAUUUUAUUUUUAUAUACAAACUAUUUGUGAUUAUAGAUUCACGUCCAAAAGUUAGACCUUGCUAAGCAUCUUAAAAAAAAACUACCAUAAAUAGGUCAAUUGGGCUUUGCGCUAACGGACCCUUCAUGGGCGAAAAUGUUAUGACCAAACCCACUCCAACCAACCAUAUUCACGGGGAAAUUUAAAGAAAGCAAAAUUGACCAGUAGCAUUUCCGGCGCACAGCUAACAAUAAAAGCUUACCCCAGAAUGAACCACAAUAACGCUCCUAAUGUUGCUGUCCGUGAAAAUAAAAUCGUCAGCAGAUCUCAUAUUCAGAAAUUUUUUCAACCGAACUCAAGGAACUAACCAAGUCUAAUUUCAAACUUUGAUAGCGAAUUCCCAUUUUUGGUAGUUUUGGCGGAGUCACAUGCAUAUAUAAACCGCAACUAGGUUUCAUAAACAGAAAUAAACUACCACAGUUACAACAUCGGUUGAAAUAAGAGUACUGAUGAAGAACAGCAAUCCUCACUGGUAAAUUUUUAGUUUUCUUAAAUAUUAUCAAUUAUCACCCAUUUGAGUAUCUAAUCUUAAAAUAUUUUGAUCUUACUAUUGGACCGUUUAAUUUAUUGAUUUAAACCAAUUAGUGACUCUCUAACUUCGAAAUUUGAAUACAUCAUCUAUCUUUACAGUUAGAUAUUUUAUGCAAUUUAAGCAACUGUAAGUUUAUUAAAAUGAAUAACUAGUUAAAAUUUUAUACUCGAAAAAUCAUCAAAUUACUUAAAUCAAAUAAAUUCAAAACAUAAAUACUAAAAUUAAAAUUUUUUAAAAUUAAACAGUUAAAUUAAAAUGAUAUAUAGUUAGAUAAAUUUGUAGGAUUAAUUUCUUAAAGAUCCCUGCAAAGAAAUCAAACAGAAAAUAUAUAUUCCUAUAAAACUUUAGUUAUCGGAUUUAUUCCUUCAAAAAUUCUUUGAUUUGUAAAUAUAUAUUUUCAAAAGUUCUAAUUCGUUCAUAUAUUUUUCUACCAUUUGAUUUAACAUUAGGUUAUAAAAUAACUAUUUCGUCCUUAUAAAUUUGUAAAAAAUUAUUUUUCCCUCCCUCCUUGCCUUCGCCGAAGCACUUGGGGGAUAAAAAAGAGAGGAUAAGAAAGAUGACAUGAUUCAACAUUUGGAAUACAAAUUAUAUAUAUAUAUGGGAUAAAAAUAUUAUUUUAUCUCUUAGUUAAUUGUGGUUAAUUUUUUUUAUAAUUAUCCAAAUUUUGAUAAUAUAAGUAUAUAUUUGCAAACAAAAGAAUUAUUGAAGAAAUAAAUCUGGUAACUUAAGUCUUAUAAAAGUAUAUUUAUUAUUUAAUACCUUGCAAGGGGUAUGCAAUUAUCCCAAACGUAUAUAUCUUUACCUAUUUUACAAAAAUUAAUCAAGAACAUGUAAACACAACAUCGGACGAGGACAUUACUCAUCCUAACAAGAGUUGGUGGCAAACAGAGCCAUUCGCGUAGCCAACACAAAAGACGUGCGACCACGGGAUUUGCGGGAUUGCCCCCUCCUCCGUUGCUGUUGUAUGUUGCGGUGUGCUAUAGAACAAUCGCUCCACUGUAGAGAGAUAACGACAAGUCACGGUCACGGUCACGUCCGUCGUUGCUGACCCGUUACCGCCGUUUCAGCCGAAGAGAAAUUCCCCUGGGCUUGGUACACCGCAUCAUCGGUGGAUCGCAAAAAUCUCGACCGUACAUGGUAGAAGUAAUUUCUCCCACUCAAUGGUCCAUUGGUCUGCGUCGGACUAAUCUUAGGCCGUUGGAUGAUUUGGGAUAUUGUUGCCUCUUCGGGAUUUGCGAUGGCUGAGUACGACAGCGACCCCGAGGAAAUAAUAAUGCACUCUAUAACUUGCGGAGCAAACGCGGUGCUCGUGUUGCGAGUUACUAAAAUUAAUAAUAAAAUCAAAAAUUAAAUUGAAUUGAAUUUGAGGAGAGUCCGUCGCUUUCAUUUCCUAUGGGCCAUGGAUAUGCAUAUAUGCAUAUCGUGUGGGUUUUUUUUUUUUUCAGAUAAAAAUAUUUAUGAAGCUCGUCUAGAAACCGAGUGGCGUGUGACUUUUGUAUUUUGUGGUGAGGAAUUGCUGGGUGGAGAUAAAUGCAGCAUUUAUUUGGUCCUAAAUCUACACUUCUUCUGCACUCUCUCCUACUUCCAUUCCUACGUUCUUUGAAGCUUCAGCCUCCUUGUUUGUUUCAUAAUUGUGUUAAUUUAUUUAUGGUAAGAUCCCCCCAUCCACAAACAAUAUUAAUUAGCAAAACAUGGGCAUUGUAAUUUGCAAUAUUAAUUCUCACAAUAAUGCAGGUCACUCUACCUCCCUAAGAUAUAUAUAUAUAUAUAUAUAUAUAUUAAAAAAUAAAAAAGUUUAAGCUGACAAACUAAAUUCUAUAUAUAAAAUAUACAUAUUAUAAAGAAAAAAUAAUUAAUUAAAUCAAAAAUAAAUUAUAUUUUAAAAAUAAACUGAUAUAUAGAAAACAGGUAGAAACUUUUAAGUUGACAGAUAUAAUUAGAAAAAAACUAAAAACAAAGUACUAUCCAAUUAAACAACCUGUUUAGUUGUGUAACUAAAUAGUGAAAUACAAACUCAUAUUAAAGCUAUAGCAGGGGAAGGAAGAGAAAAAGCAAAAAAACAAAGGGAAAAUUAAAAAGGAAGAACAGCGUCGCUAUCAGUACCGAGACCUCAUCAUUUUCCGGUAAAGAAAACAAAAAGGUCACCAUGCCUUUCUCACUGCCCGCCUUUCUUCUGGAAAUGUAUGAAACUCCGCUCCGCGCCAACGCCCUCGUCACCCAUCACAUGCAACCUCCUCCCCACACCCUUUUAAAUCCUCUCUUCCUAAAAUACCCCUCCGAGGUUCGCUCGAGCCUGCCUCCUUAACUACCCCUGCCGCUGUAAUAAUCUUAUCUAGAGAGGGGUAUAAAGGUAAAAGCACCUGCCCUUCCGACCUAUUUAAUUCUCGCACAUGGCUCAAGAUUCCCAGUUCCCGAGCUCUCCUCUACUCGCCUCGCUCUCUAAUGGCGACCCAAGCGGACACGGAGGCGAAGCCAAAGCCAAAACCAAAGCCCUUGACCUCCGCAACCUCGAUUUCGGAGGAAUCGAGCUCCCUCCUCUCCUCCUACCUCGGCGUCGGCUUCGCUGUCUUCCUAGGGUUUCUCCCGAAGAACUCCUUAUCGUACGUCGCGUCGCUCCAGUCGCGGAACCGGAUCCUGGCGCUGAAGCUGUUCCAGGCUGAGGAGCAGCUACGGCAGCUGCGGUCGCGGCGGAAGGAGGACGCGAAGGCGAACGCCAGGGUGGUGGAGAUCUUCGCCGGCCACCGCAACGGGUGGCGGGAGGAGGAGCGCCGCCUCUUCGGCGAGAUCGAGGCCGCGGCGGAGGAGAUCGCGGGGCUCCGGGCGCGGCUCGCCGAGGCGGAGGCGGCGACGGCGGAGAUGAGGACGUGCGUGGAGCGGCUCGAGCGGGAGGUGGCGGAGCGUGACGAGAUGAUCGAGCUCUUGGCGAGGAGCAGGGACGGGGAGGGGGAAGACGAGGAUCUCGGGGAGAAGGAGAAGGUAAACGGCGGGACAUGUGGGGAUUUCAGGGGGACGGGGGCGAAGGUUCGGGUUUCGGAGAGGGCGGAUCCGGCGCCGGAGGCCUGCUUCUUGGAGCGCAAUGGGGAGUUGGAGUUGGAUGAGAUCGCCGCGCUCUACGCGCAGCAGAGUGGCUUUGGGACGGAGCUCUUUCCGCCGCAGGUCCAUGCGGCGGCUCCGGUGGUGGCGUCCAAGCCAUGGAUCGAGAGGUCGAACGGGUGGCAGGUGAGCACAGGAGUAUUAACCUUAGCUUUCCCGAGUUUUCAAAUCGAGUGUGUGUGUGUGUACCUUUUUUUAAAAAAAAGAAAAUUCUUCUAGUGAGCUAUAAAUUUAUGAAAAAUUAAAGGAGAAAAAAUAAUAAAAAAGUUUGGAUGAGCUUUAGGAGUUCAGUGUUAAUGUGAUGCGACUAGGAGUUGUUUGAUAACCGUAUAAUACAGGAACUAAAAGGCGUCCAUAAUGUUUCUCGCCGUUUAAAAACUUAUUCUUCUUAUUAUUACUACUAAUUUAUUUUUGAAUAUACCGGGGAUCACGUCGUUUCUUAUUUUUGUUGCUUUUAGUAUAUUCGGUGGAAGGAAUUGGGCCUGGGGCAACAUUUUUAUGAGCUUUAUUCUGUCUAGAAAUUCCUCACUCUUUCUUCACGAAAAGUAUUCAUUUUGAUGUUUUUGCUAAGCACGAUCUCUGAUACUUUUUUGGGUUUGUUUUUAGGUCCUGCUUUUGAAUUCAUAAUUUUUGUGAAGUUGACGAUGACUAACAUCUAAAUUUGCUGAAUCGGCAGUAAUGAAUGCUUUGUGUAUAAUCCCAUUUCCCCAAUAGGGUUUAUCCUACUGUAGAGUUCAGGUCGCUCUAGCUGAUUUAUUUUAUGUGUGAAACAGCUUUUAUCGCCGCUCAUAGUAACUAACCAUACCUAGUCUGCAGUUGGUGAUGCUAGAACUUAGUUACCUGGGCUAUUUAGCUGUUAUGGGGCUAUCAAGGUUAAUACCUCACCAAUAUCCUUUACCCCUGGGAGUGGCUCCAAUGCUAUAUGUAGUGUGGCCCAAUUAGUGCACUAGUAAUUAGCAACUUAAUGGCCUUCACUGUAUGGUCCAAAGUAUCCAAGUAUAAUAUAUGAAUACUGCCACUCUAGCCUCUCUUUAUCCAACCAUGUUUCAUUUUGUUGUCUGUCGUGAAGCUAUUUGGAGUGUGACAGUUACUUUUUCUUAUUUAUAUUGUAGGGUGAAAAUCUUCCGUAAUUAUUGUGGCUCUGAAAGUUUCCGAGGCUUGCGCUUAUUUGACUCGUAUAGUUUGAUACCAGAAUACGAAAUAUGAAUCCUGGCUUUUAGCUCAUAUUUUUAGGAUUCAACUUAAUACCUUUCAUGGUUGGAAGAAUCAAUUGGAUCAGUUACUUUUUUUUAAUACUAAGAAUGUAGAUGCCACUACCAAUGAUCAAGUUAGUAAUCUUUUAAAUCACUUGAACUUAGUGCUGUCACAUGCUUCUUGUCCUGCUUUUGCUGUAUUAUAUUAAGGAUGAAUGUUUUUUGUCCUGCUCAUGCUAAGGAGCUAAUGUCAACAAAGAAAUUCUUACUUAUCUGAUCUUUAAUUUUGGUAGGACACACAAUAUGAUUCACUAGAGUCAACAUACAACAUAAAGCAUCUCGUACCAAGGUAAAAUUACAGUUGAGCAGUUCAAUUUCAGAUAUAGCGAAAUUUUUGAUUUGGUACUUAAUGUUUAAUGCAUCUUUUCAGGAGGGAGUCCCCUUGGAAGGUUGAUGGUGAAUCAUCAGGAGUCCCUGCUAAGCUCAAACUACUCGAGCAGGAAUUAAUUAACCUGGAAAAGGUGGGAAAAGGAGAUUUGUCCAAGAUACCAACAUUGAUGAGAAAACAGGCUAAAAGAUAUCAAUCACUUGCUGGGAAAAUUGAUGAUCUGUGCAGAAGAAUGGUAGGUUCAAAUCUUCCAAUCCUCAGUACUUUGUUGAUAUUUCUUACGGUAGCAUAUUUCAUCUACAGUUGCCAAAAGAAAAGAAGAUUAAAAAGGGGGGGGGAGGGAGGAGAUUGUGCUUGUGUGUGUGUGUGUUCUAAUUGUAUAGUCACACUUGGUGUCAUCUGCUAUGGCAGUUUCAUAUGGACCUCCUGAUAAUUUAGUUAAUGCUGGAGCACAAUUCCUGUUUUGCCAAAUUAUUGUUCCAACUUGUAAGAAAAGAAAUGCCAAAGCUAGAUGAUGAUAAGAAAAAUGAUGAAAGGCAUAUAUUACAGUGACAAGUAGUCUGAAUAUAGUGAAAAUCCACGCUAGCAGUUUAGUUCUGUAUUGUCCGUAGAGGAGACUAGUUCUUAUUAUUAUUACCAAGUCAGACUAGCUCUUAUUAUUGCCAAGUCUCUCAAUUGUAGCAUGUCUCUGAAAUCUGUGGUAAAUCUAUUAUGAACUAUCAAACUGCCAAUCUUAGUUAUACUAGUGGAUACUUUAUAGAGUAAAAGAAGCUAUAUAAAGUGUUAAGCUUAAGGAAGUGACAAAAUCAGUUGUCUCAUAUUGACACACACUGCUGAUAUUACCUUCCAAAUCCAUUCCCUCUGUUCCGGAUAACGCCAAGAUUGUUUUUUGUUGUAAUCAAAUUUAUCUUAGCUGACCUUAAUGAUGCAAUGCUUAUUAUGCUCUUCCAAAGUAUAUUUUGCUUUGUGUAUACUUGCAAAAUUUGUACUUCAGAUACCAUCUCCUAGUGACGUAAUGCUGUAUUGAGCUAAAAUUUCUACUCUUCUCCAGCAAGUUACUGAUCCGUGUGACCCGACCCUCAGCCCUGAGUUCCGAACUCAACGGCAAACUGAAUUCUUGCUCGAAGCAUUCCAGCUCCAAAACCGUGCCACAGAAACAAGAGACAAGCUUAACGCUCUCCAAACUGAGACCGCAAAGUGCAGCUUCGGGGACGAAUUAACAGCGCAGGCAAAGUUGAACACGAGAAGAUCUCUCGAUUCCAUCAGGAGCAACUUCAAGGAAAUUCAGAGAAAUCUGGAGAUAUGGUUGGCGAGAAUUAUGGGCGACCUGGAGGGCAUCUUGGCCCGGGACGGUGCUUCACGCGUAAGGGAUUUCUAUUUAUCUCCUUACCCCUUUGUGCGAUAAAUUUAUGCCACUAUGCAUUGAUCUAGUUAGUAUUCCCUGAUUGACCUUUUGGUGCUAGUUAAGUUGUAUAGGUGACUUCUACCUAUUUCGGAGCACUAACCGCAUUUUGAGAUAUGCGUAGGCUGUAAAUGUGCAAAUGUGAUAUACACGGUGCCUGUUUUUAACGAGCACAUAUGACAUGCGCUUGUAUAUUCUUAACAUUUGAGAAAAAACUUCAUCCCCGCCCAUUGUUCCCCGUAAUUAAGCUCGUUAACUUCGUAUAAACAUGUACCCAUUUUCAGUUCCCACUUACGAGAUAACUAUGUGCUGUUUUUUUUUAAGUCUUCGUCUGUAUUUAGCAUCUUUGCAAUUUCCUAGCAACCGUAAGCAGACCAUAAACAAUU
rnacentral:lncRNA from 1 species